rnacentral:lncRNA from 1 species
UGGUUCACUCGACAAGCACCGGGCCAACCCCUAGGGGUCCCCACGGCUCGAGAAUGUGACGGUGUGGUUUUUGAAUAAUUUUAAGCCAUUUUUCAGUCCUAAGAGCACGCGACACGCCUGCUACCAGAGUUCAUGCAUGCUGAAUAGGAGACGUUUGGCGCGCCUUUGUUCUUUUUAUUUUUUUAUUUUUUUCGGGUUGGCUUGCGAAGAUGCAUCGAGGCCCUUUCAGUAGUCAUUUCGGUGUUGUUUGGCACGUGGAGUGGGAGGGCACCGCACGCUGUCCAUGCGGGUAGGGGAUGCUGGGUAGGGGAUGCUCAGCUGUUGUGCACUUGCUUUGAUAUUAUUAUACCUUGCUUGGAUAUUGUCUUUGCUUAAAUCCUGUCGUACGAGUAACUUUGCAUGAUCAUUUAGAUAUACAUGACCUAGGAAAAAUAUUUAUAAAAAAAAAAAUGUGUUAAAGAAUGCAUAAAACUAAAUACCCAAUGAGCAAAGCUACCAAAUUGUUCAUCAGCAAAUAAUUAGUGUAAACAAAAUCUCCGUGCCCUGAAUUUUUUACUCACAAAAAUGAAACAAACUCCCAUGUUUUACUCAAUCUUUAAUCGGCUCAUCAUAUAUUAGUGGUGGCUCUUAAAGUAAGAACAAAUGUCAUAAUUAGAAUGAGAUAAUCAAGUUACGAUCGGUAAAGUUUGGGAGAACCUGUGUCAAGGGUAAACAUUGUCUUGCAAGAGGUACCAUUCGUACCCAUUUAGCAAUCCUCAAACUCAUUUGGGAGGGUCGUGGCAAUACUCUAUGCCAACAGACAUGACAUCAAUUAUUUCGAUGAGCUUUUGCAAUAGAAACAAUUAUACAGACAUAGAUAGAUGGCAUUCAAGGUUGAUGCUUAAAUGCAAUUCGCCUUCUUCAUAAACAGGACAACAUAAAGCCAUUUGGCAAUACACAAACAGCCACAUACAUAUGAUGACAUGCUACUUAAGAGCCAGGGCAUAAUAAGUCCUUUUCAAGCAAUUCACAAACCGAUUUAAUGAGAUGCAGAAUUGUCAAUAGGAAUCACCAAUCAGCUCUAAAUUUUGGAAUAUGUUCACUUUUCCACGAUUCUAGAGCAACCAAGAAUGUACCCNNNNNNNNNNNNNNNNNNNNNNNNNNNNNNNNNNNNNNNNNNNNNNNNNNNNNNNNNNNNNNNNNNNNNNNNNNNNNNNNNNNNNNNNNNNNNNNNNNNNNNNNNNNNNNNNNNNNNNNNNNNNNNNNNNNNNNNNNNNNNNNNNNNNNNNNNNNNNNNNNNNNNNNNNNNNNNNNNNNNNNNNNNNNNNNNNNNNNNNNNNNNNNNNNNNNNNNNNNNNNNNNNNNNNNNNNNNNNNNNNNNNNNNNNNNNNNNNNNNNNNNNNNNNNNNNNNNNNNNNNNNNNNNNNNNNNNNNNNNNNNNNNNNNNNNNNNNNNNNNNNNNNNNNNNNNNNNNNNNNNNNNNNNNNNNNNNNNNNNNNNNNNNNNNNNNNNNNNNNNNNNNNNNNNNNNNNNNNNNNNNNNNNNNNNNNNNNNNNNNNNNNNNNNNNNNNNNNNNNNNNNNNNNNNNNNNNNNNNNNNNNNNNNNNNNNNNNNNNNNNNNNNNNNNNNNNNNNNNNNNNNNNNNNNNNNNNNNNNNNNNNNNNNNNNNNNNNNNNNNNNNNNNNNNNNNNNNNNNNNNNNNNNNNNNNNNNNNNNNNNNNNNNNNNNNNNNNNNNNNNNNNNNNNNNNNNNNNNNNNNNNNNNNNNNNNNNNNNNNNNNNNNNNNNNNNNNNNNNNNNNNNNNNNNNNNNNNNNNNNNNNNNNNNNNNNNNNNNNNNNNNNNNNNNNNNNNNNNNNNNNNNNNNNNNNNNNNNNNNNNNNNNNNNNNNNNNNNNNNNNNNNNNNNNNNNNNNNNNNNNNNNNNNNNNNNNNNNNNNNNNNNNNNNNNNNNNNNNNNNNNNNNNNNNNNNNNNNNNNNNNNAUAUACAUAUAUUCUCAUGCCAUCAAAGAAAGCUUUUUUGUACUUUGUAAUUGAAUAGCAGCAUGUAUGUGCAUGACCCUUAUUUUUACAGUUUCUCCCAAGAAAAAGGAUGUUAUUCCACCAUCAUUUUAUCAGCUAAAUAUCUAUAAUACUAAAUGAUUUCAUGAGUAAACUUUCCCAUUUAAUCAUUGUAAGAUGAAUUUAACAUCAGAGCCUCACUUUUACUAUAGAUCUCUUUUCGACAACGAAUACCAUGGACAUUGAUAGAAAAAGAAACAGCUAUUAUAUUUUGAAGAGAUAUUCCCUCCUGAUGAAAUAAAAGAAUAGGCUUAAUGACUUACAUCAAGACCACAAUGUAUAUGGCAAGACCAACUUAACCGCCCAUGAUGCAGGGUCACCAUAUGACUGCAUUUUCUGAGAAAAGCAAUAUUCAGGUAAGGUUCAUUUGGUUCAUAAUUGCGGUUGACUUAAACUUCUGUUUGAUUUUGAGGUCAGUAAGCAGCUGCUUCACUCAUAUGAGCCGCUGAGAAUUCACUCGAUAAAUCAUCCCCAACUAAUUAGAGUUUGAGACAAGUAGUUAAUGGCACAUAGGAUUCAUCACAAUAGGUAACAAACGAGGACAGAAAUAAUCCAGAACUCAGCAUGAUCUGGCUACGUAGAGACAAUUUUUGCUGAUAACUCUCCCAACACAGAGAACCGUGUUGAGAGAAGUACCUCGAUAAUCGACUCCUGAGUUCAGCUUGACGACAACUGGUCUCCCGCGAAUCGAUUUCAGGAAAUCCGCGGGGGUCUUCGUGGUGGCCGACCCUUUCUCUCCUCCUCCUCCGCUCAUCCUCCUAAUCCUCAAUCACUGCUUCCUCUACCUGAAACAGGAAUGCCCACGAUCGUAAUUUAAUCAACGGAAAAGAAACAAAAUUGCACGCUAAUUUAGGCGCAAAAAAGAAAAAAAGAAAAAAACAAAGCUCAUGAACAAACAUAUCUGUGGCACAUCCAUUGUUCACCUCCACCUAUAACAACCCCCAAACAUCAAAACACAGACGACCCUCUUGUGUGCUCGUCUCGUCCCUCGUUUUACAGCAACUCGAAGAAACUUAGAAUGAAAGAUGCACAGGAAAAUGCAGCGAUUCAAGCGAAUUUACAGAGGGGAAACCAACACCAAACCCUUAAAAGAACCAAGAGAAACAAACCCUAAACGGAAAGGAAAGAGGGAGCGAGAAAUUUCGACGAGCAAGAGGUUAAAGCUGAACUCACUUCGCUGGAAGUUCCUGGUUCGAUGCUGGGUCGAAGGCGGAGCGCGCGCUGCAGAGAAAUUGAGAAGAAGAAGAAGAAGCCGUAGCCCGCGCUCUGCAUCGCAUACAUCAGCCCGAGUGUCAAAAUUGUGAAAUAGAGGACUUUUGAGGGGUAGAAUUGGAAGGACAAACUAGAGAGGUAACCCACCAGAUUAUGUUCAGUAUUUCGACCCCGAAAAAAGAAUGUUUAUUAUCUUAUCCACAGCUCUAUGAAAGUCUGGGUCUGGAUGGCAGUUUUGUUAUUUGAAACAUGAGUUUAUUUUGACAAAAAUAAAUAAUUUAAAAAUAUCUUACGAUAAGUAAUUGCUCAAAAAAAGGUAUUUCCACUUAACGAUAUAUCCCUAGAUAUGUCAUUAGUAAUUGAAAAUAUAUUUUGUCCAUUCAUUUUUAUAAAUAAUGUGAACAAUUAUUUAUGGACAAGUACUUUAUGAAUUAUCAUUUUUUGCUCGCUAAUUCAAGACAUGGGAGGCAAGCGUACGGAGCACAGAGCCCGCAUUUUGAUUUUUUGAAAGUUCCAAAUGUUAUGAAUUUUAAAAUAAAGAAAAAUUAAAGGAUAUCAACUAAAAAAAGAAAGGACGAGAAAAGUGUAGUUAUGGUGCUUUGAUAUUUGGUAGGUGAAGAAGAGAUUGGCCAAGUUUGUUUGUUUUUUUGCAAAUUAGUAAAUUUGGAGUCGAUAAUUCUAUUUCAACUGCAUCUAAAUUGAAUCAAGUUAUUUAUGUUUUUGAAUUUGUUUGGGGAAUUUGUGAAAACAAGGAUGCUGUUAUCCAAUCAUGAGAGGAUUAUGCUUAUAGACAGUGUCCUCCAUAAAAAAUUUGAUUGCUAUUUCCUUUUUCUACUUUCCUCGGCCAUAUUCAAGAUCCAAUGAAGAUUGUUAUUAGAAAAAUUAUUGUUAUUAUUAUUAAUAUUAGGACAUGCAUUCCAUCUCUCUACAUAGCUUUCUUAAUUUAAUAUCUUAUACUUGGCGCAAGCACCACGUUUUGUUCAAGAGAAAAGAAAAAUAAAAGUUUCUAAUAUUUUUCUUUUUACUAUAAUUCACAUAAUUUGUCAAAUUUUCUUUUGUUAGACAAUAUUUUUAUUUACUAAAUUCAUAUGGUCCAACGUCACUCCAAUCCACCUUCCACCUUCCAUAACUCCGGAUGGCGCCUCUCCACUGAACGCUCUUCAACCGUCUCCCCAAGCUCCCUCCUUUCCGGACAUCAUGGCCCCGCGCCGCCCGGUUCUCCGCCACGGCGGACGGCGGAGCCCCCGUUCCGCCGUCCUCCGACGCCGCUCCCCCGCCGUACGAGAGCUCUCCGCCCAUCGACGCCGGAUCGUCGAUCCAGAAGCCGAUCAGGCUGUGGCCCGGCAUGUACUUCUCCCCCGUCACCAACGCCCUGUGGGAAGCGAGAUCCAAGAUGUUCGAGGAGGUCGGCGGCGCCGGCGCGAGCGGGAAGGCGGCGGCGCCGCCGCCGGAGAGCGAAUUGGUCCCGCGGAGCCCGUCUAGGAGCAGGAUGAGCAUUUUCUACAAGUUCUCGAGCGAUUAUGUGCUCAGGGAGCAGUACAGGAAUCCUUGGAACGAGAUCAGGAUGGGGAAGCUGGUGGAAGAUCUCGAUGCUCUCGCCGGGACCAUUUGCUAUAAGGUGAAUCGACGAGCUUUGAACGACUAUCGGAUGGCGAUACCUUGAUUUCCUCUUUCUGAAUGUGGUGCCUUUUGUACUCUGCGAUGCUUUUCAUGCUAAAGUUUUCUCGAUGCAUAUCUAAUGGGCUUUUCCUGCGUAAGAUGAAUUGCAUGUGAUGUCAUCGACACUAAUAAGAGUAAUACAGUUAACUGGUGCUUUGAUGAAUUCCUGAUGUAAAACUGACUGAUGGCGGCGCUUAGUUGGUGGUUAAUCAGUUCAAGUAUCUUGCUAUUAGUCGUUUGAAUGUCAAGUCCUUGUUUGAAUAAUCUAGAAUCAGUCAUUUGGUAUUAGAGAGGAGAUCAUUUCUUUGACGGAAAGAUUGAACAACAUGCUUCUUAUUUGCUGUAAGCAGUACCUUGUCUCUAUCAUUCGUAUAAGAGCAUGUCUAAUUUCUCAUCAAUCUUUGUCCGUAUCAGGUUCUGCGAUCAGAGGCUUAAUGCUUAAGUUCUCAAGUGAUCAGUUGUAGUCCAUAUAGUGUGGAAUUCAUCAUUAAAAUUGUGUGUAACAGGACACCCGCCUGUUGUAUUUAGCCUUUUUCUUUUGGACCGGCAUUGCUCCAGCGACGAUGGCACCACGAGGCCUCUAUUACUAGUAACUGCUUCUGUAGACAGGAUGGUUCUCAAAAGGCCAAUCCGUAUUGACAUGGACUUGCAAAUAGCGGGGAGCUGUUAAAUGGGUCGGGUGCUCAUCAAUGGAGAUCCAACUGGAAGUAAGUCCACAGAAGGUGUUAUAUGAAACGGUGCUUCCAAAUGACGAUAGUAUGCUACUUUCUUUCCUAGAGUUGAUGACAUUGCUUUGUUGGCUUGUUGGACAAGAUCAUACAUUUUCAUCUGCUGCCACUAAGCAAUUGCAGGAUGGUAUCACUUUGAUGGCCGUGCCUUAAGUAUAUGUUUAUUCUUCACAAACCAUACUUGCUCUUCCAUGAUUUUGGUACUCUACUUGUAAAAAUUAUGGAGAAAUUUGCUAAUUUUCUCUCCAUCCACCAUUCCCUUAUUACCAAAAAUAAAUAAAUAAAAUAGUAAACCUGUCCAUACUAUAGAGAAGCUUGCUAAUCAACAUCCUCUUGCCAAGAAGUAUUGGUUUGUGAAGGAUCCUGACAUGUUGGUCGAGCACAAUAUUCAGAUAUCAGAUCUUCAUAAAGUUAUCAUUUCCAUGAUAUAGUCUUAUUAUUGAUCCAUUCUGCUGUUUACCUUAAACUGGCAAUUCCAUGCAGAAACCCAGGAUUCUUCAGAUUCAGUUGCACUUACCGCCAGUUUCACAUUUGUGGCUCGUGAUUCUAGAACUGGGAAAUCAGCUCCAGUUAAACCUAUCUCACCAGUGACAGAUAGAGAAAAAUUACUUUGGGAAGAGGCAGAAAAGAGGAAUAAAGUGAGGGAAAAGAAGAGAGAAGAACGUAACAAAUAUGGUAACGUAGAUGACUUGUCCAGGCUGCAGGCUUUACUUGCAGAAGGUCGUGUCUUCUGUGAUAUGCCAGCUCUGGCAGACAGAGAUAGCAUUCUGAUAAAGAGAUACUUGUUUUGAGAACUCGCUAAUUUGCCGGCCACAGCAAAGGAAUAUCCAUGGGAGAAUAUUUGAAGGAUUUUUAAUGCGAAGGGCUUUUAAAUUGGCCUUUUCAAGCACAUAUGCCUUUGCUGGUGUGGCACCCCGGUCCGUUAAAGUUGACCAUGUUGAUUUCUUGAGACCGGUGGGUACUCAUCCUGCGCAUGAUGUAUUUGUAAGUGUAGGAGAUGCUGUUGCAUGACUUAGCUGCUGGCUGAGUGGGGAACCGUGGCAAUCAGCAGCGAUGGUCGCACAUGUGCCUUCACUCUUGCAGUCUGAGGUAUAUGAGUAAAAUUAUGGAUCUGUUAAGUGGAAGAUAUUAUUUUUGGGAUGUUAGUAAUUUUUCCGCCCCAAAUGCUGCAUCCUGUAUACGUAGCUUGACAUUCCAGCUGAACCCCUGACAGAUGUCGAAGUUGUGGCUCAUGUGAUGCAACCUGAGCUCAGGUCAAGCGAGGUACGAGCAGCCCAUGUGUGUUACAUUUUCUUUUAGCAAAUUUUGAUACCCUUCCGCUCCUCUGAUCAGAAGUUAAAGGAUGCUGUGGUAGGGGAUUUAUCUAUUUACUCCCACCUUUUUUUGGACCCAAACUAUCUACCAUCCCUUAACAUAAUGGUCGUGCAUGAUAAAAUUCAAACGGAGAAACAAGAAUGAACUGGUCACUUAGUUGGGGGAUAUUGAAGUCUGCCCUUAAUUUUCAAGAACAAACUGCAUAAUGAAAUGAAUUUUUGUGAAGUCACCAUCUGAGAAUAAAGUGGUUCAGGAAUGGUGGAUUCUAGUCUGUUACAAAUGCGGUUUGUCUGAACCCAUGGCAUCGAAGAUUGAUGCUCGAAUGCAAUUCACCUUCUUCAUAAUCAGGACAGCAUUAAGCGAAUUGGCAAUACACAAAGAGAGAGCCAGAUAUCUACUAUGACAACUUGCUUAAUUAGGAAGAGCUAGAGCAUUUCAAAGCCCUCGUCAAGCAAUUCACAAAUGGAAUUCAUGAGAUGCAGGAUUAUCAGUGAGAAUCACCAAUCAGCUCUAAAAUUUGGAAUAUGUUCACUUUUCCACAAUUCUAGAGCCGCGUUGACCUGCAACCAAGAGCGUACCCAUCAAACAUUAUAUCUACGUAACUCCAACAAGCAACAUUAAAUAGCACCAUCGACGCUAGGCCCCAACUGCCUGAGUCCGCUUUGAAGUGCUGAUGUACAGAACUGCAGUAAGUCAUGCCACUUAGGACCAGCCGAAUUCAGUAAAGAUAAGACUAAAACAUCAGAAAUUUUGGAUACAUCAUUACCGUUAUUUCCUCAUAUAGAAGCAUCGCAAUACUUGUUUUUCAGCUGCCGCCGACGUACUCUUCCGUCUGUUCCAUUGUUAUGUUCAUAUAUCCAGCCGGGCAGGCUAGAAUACCUGCAUAAAACUCCAAGCCAUCAGAACAUAUAAGAACACCACACAACUUCAGGCAGCACAAGAUUGUGGUUCUGGACUAAUCAUCAGUAUAGCCUGCAUAUAGCAUGGGAAGGAGAACAUGCUUGUCAGGAGCAUUUCAGAUUAACUAAUCUAGUAUCAUCCUACUCACCUUUCCUCCAGGUCUCACGCCACAAGCACCAAGGUUAAAUUACUGGAAGUUGACAAGAAAAAACUUGGUCAAAGCACAUAAAGCGCACACUCCAGCUUUUCCUCUAUCAGGAUUUACUACAAAUUGUAAAUUGAGAAAGCUCACUUGAGAAAACGACGGCGUGAAAGGGUAUUACCUAGAAAAAUGCCAAAUCCAAGAGUCGAAAUCUAUUUUCCCUCUCGUCUUGUUGAGUUCCCUCUCUAUCUGCUGGAUAGAGUUCUUCUUCUCUGUUAAACCCUUUGUCUUCAAUCUUCAGUAGAUUACCGUCGCCAUGUGAACGGCAAUUCUUCAUCAUCUCCUUCUCUUCUUGUUCUUCCCAGGCCUAAUCACUUAACCCAUACACAUCUAAUCCUAUUUCUAUCACAUAAGUCAUUGUUCUGCGGGUUUCUGUUCUACUCCCUUGUGGUUUUCUCUGUUUCUCCAUCUGCAUGUCGAUAUUUCUUAGGCUCCCGACCUUCAUCUGUUAAGACAAUACGUCCUUUCAUCAAUGGGUACUGAAGAUGAUCCAGAUGCAUCUCGAGUUGCUGCACUUUGUCAAAAAUUGGGCCGAUUAUGCACAGAAAAAUCAAUUGAAGAAUGGCAAGUUGAACCCCCACCUGGCGCAGUCGAGGAGUGCAAGCUACUAUUAAUUGGUAAAGUUCCUUCCAACCCUUCCUUCAAUUUCCCAGCUUUCCAGUCAGUCUUGAAGAGGGCAUGGAGGUCAGACCAAGCGGAAAUUCUACAGAGAGAAGCGGGAAUUUAUUUAGCCAAAUUUAAGUCUCAAGCUGAAAAAUAGAGAAUUCUCGAUACAGGCCCUUGGCAAUUCUCCGAACAUCUUAUAAAUUUUAAACCCUGGGUAGCCAACACCCCUCUGCACUGCUAUGAUUUCUCUACCUGUGCAUUCUGGGUUCAAGUAAUUGGGUUACCGUUAGAAUGUUGUACCGAUGAUAUGAUACGCAAGGCUGUUAGUUCUGUAGGCCCUGUUCUGCAAGUUAAGUCUGACUUUGCUACUGGUUCCACCCUGAAAGCAGGCCGUGCUCGAGUCGAGUUGGAUUUAUCUGAACCAUUGAAGGUAGGUCGACUAAUUAAAUUCAAAAAUCAAACUCUGUGGUUGGAUUUUCGUUAUGAAAGGUUACCUCAUUACUGUUACUCUUGUGGACGAUUGGGCCAUUAUACAGACUCUUGUCCCACCAUCCCUUUUGAGGAGAACAUGUUCACCGAUGCUGCUAAAACUCCUUACUGUCCCUAGUUAAAAGCUGAAGUUCAGCAGUACAACCCUUACUGGAAGUGUUACUAUGGACAAUCAAUUAUGGAGGAGGAGAGAGAGGAAACCAUACCUGAAACACCUCCCACUGAUAUUUGCCCUCUCCCUCUUCUUCUACCACCUAUUCCUAACACAACCUCCUCUCCACAAAAGGCUACUCCGAUCACACCACAGACUGAUACCUUGGCCAUCACUCCUUCAGUGCAACAAACUCUUACCACCGCUUUGAUUCCAGCAUCAGAGAAGCUUAAAGGAGUGCAAUUGCCGACAUCAGCUCCUCAAGUAAAAAAAGGCAAAAGUAUUCAUCAGAAUAUUAAAAUAGGCUCUGCUAAGAAACCGCAGUGCUAUACUCCCUAUGACUUUCCAGGAGGGCAACAGGGAGUCUAUGAUGACUCCUUCUUGUUGGAUACGCCAAUUAUAGAGGCUUCUGAAGAUGGUUCGUGGGCGACGAUGGCUGGCCCUAAACAGUCACCAAAACAACGAUGAAAAUUAUAAGUUGGAACUGUCAGGGUUUGGGCAAUCCCCUGAUAGUCCUAUCCUUAAAAGCCCUUUUGGCUAAAGAAAAGCCUGACCUGUUAUUUUUUAUGGAGACGAAAAAUGUUGAUGAAGUUCUCCUUCGCCUGAAACGGUCCUUUCGUUUUUUUGCACCACAAGCUGUUUAGCCAUGUUGGCUCUGCAAGUGGCUUAGCUCUUUUUUGGAAUGCUGGGAUCUCGUUGUUAGAUUUCUCCUCCAAUCCGCAUUUUUUGGAUUUUAUUUGUCUGGAUAUCUCGGAUGCCAGAUCUAUGCGGAUUACUUGUAUUCAUGCACCUGCAGUUUAUCAUGACCGUCAGCAUCUUUGGCAGACCUUGCGACAAUUUGGUAGCUAUAAUGUCUUACCUUGGGUGUGCCUUGGCGAUUUUAAUGAAAUUCUUCACCGAUGGGAGAAAAUGGGAUCUUGGCCAGCGGACUCUUAUCGACUUUCUUCCUUUCGAGAGGUCCUCAAUGAUUGCUGCUUGUUGGAUCUACCUUCUCAUGGUUGUGCUUUCACUUGGUCCAAUAACAUAGAUGGGGAAGCCUUGGUGAAGGAGCGUCUAGAUCCAGCUGUAUGUACUGCUGAAUGACGUCACUUACCCGAAUGCUCAAGUGCUGGCUCUCCCUGCAGUAGGAUCAGAUCAUGGCCCACUUGUUUUAGAUACAAAACCCUGUUUGAGUCGACAAAAGAGACACUUUACCUUUGAAGCUUUAUGGAAUCAGGAUCCGGGCUGUUAAUCAGUCAUUGAAACCUCUUGGCACUCUGUCUCGAGGAAGGACUCUCCUCUCCUAGUCAAGCUUCGCGCGGUUGCUACAGCCUUCUCCACUUGGAGUCGCCAGAAUUUCUCCCACAACAGGCAACAGGCAAUGGAAUUAGAGCACCAGUUACAAAUUUUGACAAAUCAGCACCCUACUUUAUUGAAUCAAUCUCGGCAACAAAUGAUAAAAACAGAACUUCAGAAAGCAUGGUAGAGGGAAGAGCAAUUUUGGGCGAUGCGAUCUAGGAUAAACUGGUUAAAGUGGGGAGACCGUAAUACUAAGUUCUUCCAUGCUACCACACUUCAAAGAAGACAACGAAACCAAAUUACUAUAUUGAGGGAUGAACAUUAGCAAUGGGUUAGGGAUCCUGGACAGAUCAAAGAAAUGACUACCGCCUAUUUUUCACAGCUUUAUACAACUUUAGGAUCUCGCCCUUAUGCACAGAUUUUAGAACAGUGUCCACAGAUGGUUAAUGCAGAAAUGAAUACAACACUCCUCGCUCAAGCACUCUUGAAGAAGUUAAAGUGCCACAUUUCAACUAGGUGCUUCAAAAGCACUAGGCCCGGAUGGUUUAAAUGGACUAUUUUAUCAGUCGCAUUGGGAAAUUCUUAAAGUGGACAUUCACAGAGCAGUUCAGCAAUUCUUUACAUCUGGAUCAUUACCUCUACCUUUAAACAGAACUGCUAUAACCCUAAUCCCCAAAACCCCAAACCCAUAAAGCUUGGAUCAUUAUCGUCCUAUUAGCUUGUGCAACUAUGCCUACAAGAUUUUCUCUAAAGUGCUAGCUAAUAGAUUAAAAUCCCUGCUGCCUACGCUGAUUACUGAGGAACAAAGUGCUUUUGUUGCUGGAAGACAGAUUCAGGACAAUGUUCUAAUCGUGCAAUAAGUCAUUCAUCAGCUCAAGACUAGGCAACGGAGGCGUCAUUUUAAAGCGAUUCUUAAGUUAGAUAUGCAGAAAGCUUAUGACCAUGUUGAAUGGGACUUUCUUCAAGAUUAUUUACUUCGAUUGGGCUUUCAUUCCCAUUGGGUCCACCUAAUUAUGCAGUGCAUUUCAACUACAUCUUUCUCUAUCAAAAUGAAUGGUGGGUAUUUACCGAGUUUCCACCCAACUCGAGGGCUGAGGUAGGGAGAUCCCUUAUCCCCUUACUUGUUUAUCCUUAUAGCAAAUCUCUUAUCCUUCCUAAUUAGAAAUGCUAUGGAUAUGGGCUUACUCAAAGGCAUUAAGCUAAAUCAAUGGUGUCUUACUUUAUCACAUCUCUUUUUCGCUGAUGAUGCUGUCUUCUUUCUUGAUGGUACCUUGCUGGAGUGUCAAAACCUAUCUAAUAUUCUAAACCAGUAUUGCCUGGCAUCAGGACAAACUAUUAAUUGAUAUAAAUCUGGAAUUUUCUUCAGUCCUUCUUGCCCUAUCUCUCUCCAGGAAAAUUUGGCUAGUGAAUUAAGGGUACCUGUUUUACAGCGAUGUGGGAAGUAUUUAGGGAUACUUACUGAUUGGGGAAGAUCUAAAAGGGAUAUGUUUUUUUUACUGUUGAGCAGAGUUCAAUCGAAACUAGAAGGGUGGAAGGAGAAACUAAUUUCUAAGGGAGGGAAAGAAGUUCUGUUAAAGACUGUCAUUCAAUCUAUUCUGCAAUAUGCCAUGUUUGUUUUUAAGAUUCCUAUCUCAUUAUGUAAAGUUAUUGAAAAGAGAAUGGCUAAAUUUUGGUGGAGUAAUGAUACAAGCAGAUCUGGAGUUCAUUGGCAGAGUUGGAAAACUUUACAGAAGCGAAAGGCACUAGGUGGAUUGGGCUUCAGAGAUUUCGUGAGUUUUAAUCAAGCCAUGCUUGGUAAGCAGGCAUGGCGUCUUAUGCAUCAACCAUUAUCUUUAUGGGGCAAGUUUUUUAGAAGUUUAUAUUUUCACUCAUCCACCUUUUUUAAAGCUGACAAGGGCUCUCGCCCAUCAUGGGGCUAGCAGAGCCUCUUGAGCGGGAGGGAUGCUAUUUUACUAAAUGUUAGUUGGUCUGUGGGAGAUGGAAAAUGCAUCAAAAUAAGAGAAGACAGAUGGCUUCCUAUGGGAAUUCUAGGUGGACAUAAAGCCCCAGAAGAACCUAUACUAGUAGCUGAUCUUAUUGAUCAGGCUACCAAUUCAUGGAAGAUUGAUUUAUUGUACAGAUUUUUUGACUUGAAAAAUCAUUCAACAGAUCACAGACAUCCAACUCAGGCCUAACUUCACUUCAGAUGCACUUAUAUGGACAUCAAUUAAACAAGGAACGUUUACGGUCAAAUCAGCAUAUCAUGCAAUUAUUCAGACACGAUCAGGUAUCCCAAAUUCUGGUGCUUCAACAUCAUACCAAAUCCCUACCUGGUUAUGGCGCACUAUCUGGAAGAUGCCUGCUGCACCCAAACUCCGUGUAUUCCUCUGGUCCAUCUGUAGCAAUGCCUUGGCAACGAGAGACAACCCGUAUCGAAGACAUAUAUUAGAAAGUCCCUGCUGCCCACUAUGCAAAAAUAAGGUUCCAGAAACUUUAGAACAUAUGUUCUUACUCUGUUCGUGGACUCAAUAGGUGUGGAAUCAUUCCCAGAUCGGGAUCUCAAUCAUUCUCAACAAUAUUCAGCGUCUGGACUCAUGGAUCGUGUUCACAAUUGGGGAAGGAAACCGAUUAUCUCAUCUGGCGUUUAUUUCUCAUGUCCUGUGGCAGAUUUGGCGAGCCUAGAAUGGCUUCAUUUUCAGAGGAACUUCUCCCAAUCCGACGCAGGUGGUAGAAGCGGCACUGACUCACGCUCAGGUAGAUCGGUUAUCUUCGGCUUCCUACACGCAUCAACAGCUCUCGGUCAAAAACAAAUCUCAUCUCUGGCACCCCCCAGAUCCCGGGGUUCUGAAGGUUAAUAUAGAUGGAUCAUAUCAUCAGGGAAGCAAUCACGGUAAUAUAGCUUGUAUUUGCAAGGAUCAUCAAGGCUGACUUACAGAUGGCUUCUCCAUAGGGGUUGUGGCAUUCUCGGCUCUGCAGGUUGAGAUCCAAGCCUUAUCCUUCUCGCUCCGCCAUCUUCUGCAACAAGGGCUUCAAAACGCAAUGAUAAUCAUCGAAUCAGACAAUCUCACUUUGGUGGACACAUUGAAUCGCUGCACAUUGCCGCCAUGGACGGAUCGCUCUCUCUUCUCAGAGGCAGCCUUCCUGUUAACCCUAUUCUUCAAUCUAACACUAGGGUUCUGUCGAAGAGAAGCAAAUGUGGUAGCCGACUGGGCCUGUAAGGCCCAUACUAGCAAUAGUUUGACUUGUAAUUGGGCCCUUCUUUCGCCCCCUCCUCUCUUGAACCUGUUAAGCGCAAACGCUAUAGCCGCUGGUUGUAUGGGUUAUUCCUAUUAAUACAAUAUGAGUUUCCGUUCAAAAAAAAAAAAGGGUACUACCUAUAAUGCCCUCAUUUUCUUGAUAAGGACAUCGGAAUCGAUCAAAUGGCUUUCAAACCACCGAAUCUUAAUUCCAUCUAAGUUCACUGAUUUAUCAUCAAAGACCCCGCUUCUCCCUUUCUCUUUCUCUGCGCUUGUUCUCCCUCCCUCUCCCUCAACACCCAAGAGAAAAAAAAAAUAUGAAGUUCGAAAGCCAGGCUUCUUUUCUUAUUCUCAUGCCAUCAAAGGAAGGUUGCUUGUAUCUUGUAAUUGAAUAGCAGCAUGUAUGUGCAAGAUCCUUGUUUUUGCAGUUUUCCAGGAAACAAAAUGAAUAUCUUGUGCAAUCAUCAUCAAAUCUGCCAAACAUCUAUAAUAUUAAUCCAUUUCAUCAGCAAAACAUUUUUCAUGCAUUUAGCUUGGUUAAAUUAAUUAUAGGAGCACUCUUGAACUAAUGGCAACCUUUUGGACAAUAAGUCCAAUUUGGUGAAUAGAAGACUACUCAAAUAAUUUGUUUAGUGUAUGUCUCGAAGUAUUGGCUACAAUCGGAACGUGAUUGAUCUGAGACACAUUUAAUAGUUUUUACUUUUUAGAGACAAAAUUUUGUUAUCGAAUCAACAUCUCUUUUCUAAAAACGAUGUGCUUGGAACAAAUACUUACACAAAUCCACCGAUAAGAAAAUCAAUCAACUUAUUUGCUAUGUUGAAACCAUACCAUGUCAUUGAAACGUAAUAAUCAAGGAGAAGUAAUUCCAUCAAAUUAAAUAAAAUGGCGAACCGUAUUGAAACUGAAACGAUUAAUUUGUUUUGGUAGGUCGUGUCAUCUUUGUUUUAAUUGUCAAUCGUGCCAUAAGGGUGGGUAAGACUCUAGCGAUGGACACCAAUAAGGGAUAAUGUAACAUGUUGGAAUAAUGCUAUUGGGUCAUAUUAAUAAACUUCUCGACAACGAGAAUCAAGGAUUCAAUUUCAUUUGUGAUCCGGUUACAUCAGUUAUCACAUUGAGAAAAAGCACAAAUAGCUAAAACAAUGUAUGUGUCCCGUGAUCCAAAGAUUCACGUUAAGGAUGUGUUGGCAACUUGCCAAAUAGUAACUGAUUCUAUUUUUUUAUUUUCGGAAAUAGAUUUGGAAUAGAAUCAAUGAUUAAAAGAGAGUUGCUUUUUUGUUCUUGGGAACAAUUCUAGAAUCAAACCAAUCCAAAUUUCUUUUUUUUUUUUUCUUUUUUCUCUUCUUCUUUUCCUCUUGUUCUUCCUCCUUCUCCCUUCUUUUCCACCGUCGCCACCGUUGUUGUCGUUCACCACUGCCGAUCGCCGGCGAUCGGUUAGGCGAGGUCUGAAGACUUGCCCAAUCACUGCCAAGCCUAGUCCCUCCCCUAACCACUAACGAGCCUCGCCUAGCUGGGUGAGGCUCAACCUCGCCGAGCCAAGGCUUAGUCAAGCUUCAACCAGUUCCUGAUGAGGCUUGACCGAUGAGGCGAGGACUCACCGGGGCAGGCGACGCUCCGGCGAGGCCACCGGCCCUCGUUUGGCUAGUCACUGAUCAUUCUAAGGUUGACAAUUGGCCAAAGCUUGAAGAAGAAGAGAAAGAAAAUUUAAAAAAAAAAAAGUAAAAAAAAUUAUUAAAAAAUUAAAAGAAAAUGUUUUGGAUUAGAAAUUUUGAUGAUGGUACCAAACGCAAUUCUAUUCUAGGAAUAGAAAUUUUGGGCAGUUACAAAACGCCUUCAAAUGCUUAGAAAUUAUUCUUAGGAACAUAAUAAAAAAUAAUCAUUUCUGAUUAGAAAUUAUUUCUGAAAUUAAAUGGUUAUCAAACAUACCCUUUAGUCUUUUGUCUUGGUUUAUCCCAUUACUUUAUGCUUCAAUUUCUCUACAGACACAGUCUGCAAACAAUUCUUUUUGUCAUUAUAUUCUCCUCAAAUUUAAUUUUUUUUUAAUCAAAAACAUGUAAUCUAUAUUCACAAAUUAAAAUGGCACUCAAAUGACAAUACAAGAUGACUCAAGAUUCAUGAUGAAACACUUGAGAGUUUCUCGAUGAACAUAUGCUCUUGCGGCACAAAUUUAACAUGUAAAAUAACACUCAAAUGCAAUGACAUGAACAUGUACUCAAACCUUAUGACAUGAAGUUUAAGUGUCAAAAAGACAUUAUCACAAAAUUUAGACUCUAAAUGUCUCAAACAAGCAUGGUAAAAUGCAUAAAUGACAAGAUUUCAUUUUAGCAUUGAUUUCACAGAAUGUGCACAAUUUCAGCCAUCUUAAGUCGUGCAUAAAUCUUAUGAAAAUCCCACAUAUAGAAUAUGCAAUGAUGAACGUUUCUCGUUAAGGAUUCAAAACCUAAAAGGGACCACACAAAUCACAGCAAAAAUGACAAGACAGAUAUGUACAUUUAAACUAUAUACCGAUGCGGCACAUUUUCACCUUAAUUCAUGCAAUUAACUCACUUGCCAAUGUCAAAAUUUACAAAGUAUGCAUCAAUUGAACAUAUGUAUCAUAUAUUUCAACUUUCAUGAAGGAUUUAAAACCAAAUAAGUGUAUUUGUUGACUCGAUUUCAUCAAAACAGAAUUAUGACCAAUGCAAGAUAAUACUGUUUUAUGUUCAGAUUAAGUGAUUUUGACCUCGUUAAACAUGUUUAAAAAUUUCGAAAAAAAAAAAAAAACACAUGACAUGUACUACACUAAUACAAGCAACUUUCAUGAAGGAAAGUCAUUCCAUAACUUAAUACAAAAAUCAAUAAAAAAAAAUGGCAAAAUCAGAUAUCAUUACGAAACAAAUUGACCUAGGCUUAGAUCUAAGUAGAUCUGACCUAGUUAAGUAGGUCCAAAAAUCAUGAAAAAUUACAGGAUGUGCUCAAAAUAAUUUGGAACAAAACUUAUCAAGGCAAGAUUGUCCAAAAAUCAUCACAGAAUGUUACACAAAACUAGUAAAAUCUCAUUUCGGAGUAAUAACAAAACCGAAAAUCUAACUGAGCUAUAGCAGACUUGCUCAUCUUCAGAGAUAUUUUUAGAGGGUCAAACGAUACUCAAUUGAGGUGUGCGGCCUAUCAUUUUUCGAUCAUUUUUCGAAGCUCAGGAUGUCUAUUAUCUAAUGACUCGAAUUGAAAUGAGGUCGUUUUGAACUUUGUUUUGGCCAAAGGUACAAACAUACAAAAAUUACAGAUUCAUAUUUCUAACACUCAAUCAUGUUCUCAAUCAAUCUUCAAUCUCAGCAAAUCAUCGAAUGAUCACAUAAGCCACAUAUCUAAACAUAUUUCAUAGAUCUACUCGCGAAUCCUAGCCCCAGUCGAAUACGCUGACCUCGCUUCAUUGGAUUCGAGUUGAAGAUUUUUACCUUUCUUGUGUUCUCGUCAAUUAUUUGUACGCAAUCAAACGAAGCCUUCAUCGCCAGAGCUCAAACGACACUUCGAAGUUGACGAAUGGACGUCGUGGAUCACCAAGGAAGCGGCUGGACCGUCGAUUUAGGCGCCAAAACAGAACCGGUCCAAUUGGACCGGUCCUCGCGCUUGCCGGAGAAGAUCGGUCACCGGAGAUGCUCCGACCGUCAAUACUCCAAUCCCUGACCACGGUGAGGUCAGCAACCACUGGAGGGAUAGGUCAGCGUGGGUAGGUGCGCCGAUCGAAGUCGCCGGACCUUCAGUUCAAGCGGUGGAAAAAAAAAAAAAAAAAGGUCUAUAUCUGACUGGUUUUGGACCUCCAGGAUGAAGAUCAGCCACCGAAGACAGAUCCAUGGCUGUUUGCUCAAUCCCUGACCUCUGGACAGUCGGGGAUACAAUUGAAAGCAGUUCGGGAAUGGCCAGAGGCUUGGGGAAACGGCCGUUGGACGUCUAUCAAGAAGAAAACGGCGCCUAUUCCACCGCCGGCUCAAACGCCUACGACUCCUGAGCUGUGAUCAAGUCAGAGCAGAGACGAUUAGGAAUCACCAGAGGAGAUGGCAGUCUUCAAUACACCGGAAAGCAAGUGAGGGAGGCCGGUGGAGGUUGUGGAUAGAGGUGCUCGACCGACGAGGUUCCGAUGAGCGGCGAUUUAGGAGCAGCAAGAGAGGCGACGUGAGAAAGGUGGUGGGAGAGAGUGCAUGAGUGGGAAUCAGAGAGACAGAGAGAGAGGAGAGAUAAAAUAAUCCCAUAUCUAGUUUUCUAUAUAAAAAAAAUCCGGCCCCCCUUUUCUAAAGAGAAAAAUCCUAUUUAUAUGUGUUUAAAGGAUGGAAUCCUAGCCCUUCGAUUGAUCUAAAGGCUAAAAUGUCAUCUCAUUUUUAACGAAUCCUAGAUAACAUCCUAAUUAGGCAUAUGUUAAUUUCAAUGGUCAUGAUGCAUUCUCAAUGAAUGGUGAUGAUCUAAUAUUGAGGUAAUGGAUUAGUUGGGGUCCUUUUGUAAUUUCACCAAACUUGGGGGCAAAUUUAGAAAUUUCGUAAAAUCCGAGGAAAUUUUUGAAAUUUGAAAAUUAAGGGCAUAAAUGCAUUUUCCAUGAAGUGGGUUAGCUGAGGGUGGUUUCCAGCCAAAAAAUGAUAGGAAAAAUUCGCCAGUCAACACCGAGUUGACCGGGUUGAAUUUUGUGUUCGAAUUUUAUUCUGUUUUUUCCUAGUUUUACCCAAUUUUAAAAAAAAAAACAAAUAUUUCUAUAUGAAUCAGAUCAAAUGAGGUCUAACUAGGCUAUCUCAAGUUGACUAAUUGGGCAAUUUUUUUUUUUUUUAAAUUCAUUGAAUUCCUAUUGAAGUGAGGCCACAAGUUAAACUCAUAUUUUAAAUUGAACCUCAAUUGGCCAAAUUAAAGCUCAAUUAUUUCAAUUACGUUUUAGUCUAGAAUGGGCCGAGUCAAAUUACAUCAAUUGAAGCAUCUUAGCCAAGUUUCCUAACAUUUGAAUAAGUCAAAUCAACCAAACUAGAAUAUAACUAAGUGAAUCUCCCAAAAUUGAUCCCGCAUUUGGACUUAUCUCAAGAGAAUGAAUGAAAUGCAAUCAUUCGUUUGUAAGUCAUAAAGAAUCGAUUCUAGUAGCCUAAUUAGGGCUCAAAACGAUAAUUCGCAUUUUAACUUGGUAAAUCGUGAAAUUGGAUGCAUAGGUAGAUUUCAAACAGCCCUAAACCAAAUGUCAAAAAAGGAACUCCACCUAAUUAUGACUAGAAUAAAAAUAAUUUUAUUUUUGGUCUAUUUAGAACUUAAAACUAAAAAAUUCAGAAAUCAAGGUUCUUAAUCAAAUUUUGUGAAAUUCCCAACACAAAAAUCAAAUUGAAAUUAAAAGAAAUGUAUUUUGUGGAUUUUUGAAUUUUUUUUCAUUUUUUUGUCAAAUGUUUGACCAAAAGUCAACCAUUUAAUUAACUUUUCCUAAAAGGUUGAUUUUUCGGUCAAAUCUUUGAAUUUUCAAAAAAUUGAUUUGAUAAAGGUGAAAUUAAAGAUAAAUGUAAUCUUUUUGGGUAAAAAGUUAAUUUUGGCCCGGGGUUGACUUUGAUGACGUAUCGACUAAAAAUCAGAUGUCAACAAGAGAGAGAGAGAAAGAGAGAGGAGAGAAAUCUAUGUUUAGUGAGAGAAAAUAUCUGCAAAAUGAGCCCCCUUCAAAAAAUCGAUGGAAAAUCCUUUUAUACUAGUCUCAAAUUGAUCGAUCUUAACCAUUGGUUCAAUUCGAUGGUCAAAAAAUUGAUCUAAGGGGAAAAUUAAAAUUUUAGCUAGACACCCUUAGGAUGCAUCGUAUGAUCGAUUGGAUGGGUCCAAUUUUCCAAAAUUUGAAUUUAAAACGAGAAUUGCACUAAGGGCCUAAUUAGUGACUAAAUCGUAAAUUUCCAAAAUUCAUGAGUUAUUUUGCAAAAUCAUGAAAAUGUGAGGGCAUUGGGGUAAAUUUCACAUGGUGAAGAUCCUAGAACUAAUCUUUGGAGGUCCAGAACCGUCCGACAAUAGGUUGAACCGACUUGCCCCGUCGACAGCCGGUUAGACCGGUUCACACUGAUUUGAUUGGUUUUGAUCAGUUCUGGCCGAUUCUUGCUUAUUUCAGUUCAUGUGGUCCAUGAGGGUUCAAAACUUAUGCAAUUUGGUCUUGAGGGACCAAACAGAAGAGAAAAUUUGCACAAUUUAAGAAGAAAUUGUCUGAUUUUGACCCAAUUAAGCUAAUCAAAUCCCGUGAAUACAAUCUAUUGGUUUUUUGUUGACUUAAUUGAGUGAUUAUUGUGAAAAACAAGAUACAUAAACCAUGGGUACGUGAAAUCGAGUACUAUAUGCUAAAAUGAGCAAUUUUGCAAUUCUUUGGUCAAAAUGCAAAUUAAUUGAAAUUGAGUUCAAUUAAUAUUGCAAUAAAACUUUUGGACCAAUUCCCCAUACUUAGGAUAGUCUAUUGCAUUCAAAUUGACUUUGAAUUAAAGCCACGAGACUUAGGCCAAAAAAGAAUGGAGGUCUAAUAUGAAAAUUGGACCUUGAUUCAUGAAAUUGAAUCAUAGUCUUGAAUGGGUCAAUCAAAAUUUCUUCAAUUAAAACUUGAUGGCUCGAUUUUCUUACAUUAAAGAGAGAAAAAUUCUUCAAAUUACCAGGUUCUCAUGUGAAUUUUUCAAACGGACCUUGGAUUUUGACUUAUCUCAGAAAAAUGAAUGGAAAACAAUAGUCCGUUUGUGAAUCAUGAAAGAUCAAUUUUGACCCCUUAAUUAGGGCUUAAAAUGGUAACUCAACUUUCAACAUGGCAAUACUCAAAAUUGAAUGAACUAGUGGAUUAAAAAUAGUCCAUAGACAAAAUGUCGCAAAAGGAACCAUACUUAAUUAUGACUAAAACAAAAGUAAUUUUAUUUUUGAUCGAUUUAGAACCUAAAAUUGAAAAAUUCGAAAAAUAAGGUUCUUAAUUAAUUUUGUAAAAUUUUCGACACAAAAGUCAAAUUGACACUAAAAUAAAGUGUUUUGAGAAUUUUUUUUCCAAUUUUUUUGUUAAAUUAUUAACCAAAAGUCAACCGUUUAGUUGACUUUUCCUAAAAGGUUAAAUUUUCAACACAAUUUUUGGAUUUUUGAAAAAUUGAUUUGACAUAAGUGAAAUUAAGACUAUUUAACAUCUUUCUGGACAAAAAAUCAAUUUUUUAUCUAGGACUUUUGGUCAAAGGAUUGACCAAAAAAUCAACGUUUGACUUUUCAGUUUUUUCUUGAAAAUGAGUAGGAAAAAACUUAAAAGAAAUAAUGCAAAAAAAAAAUGAAAAAUGACACUUUUUGGUUGAGAAACAAGCUCCGUCACAACCACAAACCAAAAUCUCGAAUUUUUUUAUUUUAUCUUUUUGACGCAUCAACUAAAAAUCAAAUGUCAACACCAAUAAAGUAUUUACUUCACCUAAAUCUUUCAUUUAAAAAAUGAAAGUUAGAUACUUCUAUGUCUUAAUGAUUCCGGUCAUAUUAAUUCAAGUAAAUUCCAAUCAAGAUAACAUUAUCAAUCAAGAAUCCAGCAAAUCUUGAUCAUGUAUGGCAAUUACAACUAUGAAACGACCGAAUACUGGACAUAUAUAACUCUUUUAACCAUGAUGCCAACAAAUCCCAAAAUAGUACAAUAUUAUUAACAUGAAUUUUCUCUUUCAACUCCCAAUACAAAAAUAUAUGCUAACAUGAUCAAAGCAGCAUCAAACUUGCGUGAAACGUUUUUUUUUUUUUUUUUUUAAGGUCAAAAGAUAGUUGUCAUUGCUAAUAUGUUGUGGCACCGCAACCAAGUUCGAAAUCAUUACAUAAUAAGAUUCCUCCCUCAAGUUGGGCCAGGAGCACUUUGCAGUCCUCUAAUAUUGGUUCCACCGUCCAUGGGCUUGGUGCUAAGCCCAUCACACUCUCCACUACAGUUUGGUUGUUAGAUUGUACUUCCCUUUGGAGUCCAGUGGAAACGUGCUGCACUUUGUUCCUCUUUCCUUCGCCACUUUCUGCAGGACUGCACAAAGAGCUAAAGCCUCCACUUUCAUGGCAGAAUCGGCGUCGAUUUCUUUUGCAAAACCAUCUCUGAGGACCCCGUUCUCAUCCCUACAGAUCCCGGCGACUGUUCCCUUGCUCUGGUCUUCCGUCCACGAAGCAUCAACGUUAAAGUUGAAAGAUCCCUUUCCUGGCGAAGCCCAUUUUGCAGGUUCGUCUGUGCGGUUUUUGCUGCACUUUUGUUUCUUGGGGUUCCAUAUGUUGUAAAGCUCCAGAUCUGCUUUUGCUUCGUGCACAGCUUCGCAAGGUCGCAGUUGUUCGCCUUUGAAGACUACUGCGUUCCUCAACUUCCAGAUCUGCCAUAGAACGUCGCCUACUAGCUCCUUCAGCCAAUGGUUGCUGCAAGAGGUGAGUGUUUCUAACAGCCAUUUAUCUAUUCUGGUGAUGUUGUUGGGGGACUACUUGCGUGAAACUUAUGCCGUGAAUAGAUCCUUAAAUCACGACAGAAAAGUCAGGCUCAUUCUUAACAACUUUUGGGCACAUCAACUUGGAGCAUUAUGUCCGAAUUUAACAUGAAUUGCCCAUAACACUUUCUUUUGUCGCGUGUGUAUCAUUUUCUUUGUUGUGGAAGUCUUAAAUAGGGCAUAUCGCAUCUCUUCAACUCUACCAUUAUCCUGCAGAUGGAAUUGAACACCCACACCAAAAAAUGACUAAAGACUAAAAACAAAUAUGAAACCCUCAAUGACAAAUAGUAUAGCAGUUUACAUGCUAAACAUGGAGAUAAAAACAUUGCAUACCUUAGCGUAUAAGUCAAUAAGCAAUUUAGCAUAUUUCAGUUGCCCGCAUACCAGACCUUAUUCCUUGACUACUCCACUGGGCGAGAAGUCCUUUUCAAGCACCGCCCCCAAAAACCAUCAAGAACUACCGUACGCUUCUUCACUCGACAGUUUCUCCCAAUUUGCCCAUCUUCCACUACCAAUUCCGAUGACGUUAACUCCACCCUUAUUGAGUCUCAACGUCGUUUUUACGAGAUGAGACGCCGUCUCGCGUGAUAUGUCCACAAUGGAUUUCGCAUUGUGAGCAAGAGUCUCGUAAUUCAAGACUCCGCCAUCCUUGUCUUCUCUGUCACAAUAGAUGUCGUCAAAAUUAGUAGUGUUGAGUCUCAAGCCAAGCAUCAAAUACAGAGGCAUUGCCAGGCCGGCAAGGUCAUUGGCGAGGCUUGACCUCACCUAGUCAUUUGUGAGGCUCACCCUCGCCAGCCCGACAAUGGUGAGUCUCACCCUCGCGUGGCAAUUUCUAUCCCAAUUAAUUGGCAAAACAUGAAAAUAUCUAGGACUUAAUUGAUAUAAUUAAAAAGUUUCGGAUUGAAUUGAAAAAAAAAAAUAGGUUUACAACUUUUUGGACAAUUUUUCCAAGUAAUAUAUAGAGAGAGCUUCGUGCAUCGAGGGUAUUCUGAAAGAUACACUCGAAUUUACACGAUUAAAACCUCCAUGUUUCAUCAAGGCCCACUUCGUGUUGUGCCUUACGGUGCAUGGCUGUGCCCUUUACCUAGCGUGGACGCCACGUUGGUGGUCAAUACAACCACAACCCAUCUUGCAAAUCGCCUUAUGCACAGAUCUAAUCAGAACUAUCGUGUAGUCGGAGCUUGGCUACAGGCUACGGAUUGAAAGUUCUUUGUUUCGAAAGAGCUUACAUCAUGUUCGAUUCUUGUGGGAUCAUUGUCAUAUGUUUUAAAAACUUAAGCCCUUGUUAGAAGGGCAUAGUAAAAAUCUGAUAUCUUUAUCAAGAGAAAUUACCGGGGGAAUUCAAGCCCGUCAACAUACUCAGUUAGAUCUAUCUUUACUAAAAAAUUUAAAUCAAUAAAUUAUAGACUAACUAGAAUAUAUUAAUUGCUCAAUACACCUAUAUCAUAACAAUCUCCCCCCGCGUGUGAGCUCAGUGUUAACUAUACUCCCUCCUAAUAUUUAAAUUUUCUUACACAUCGUUAAUUGACCAGCCUUGUUUGAGUUCUCUACUGCUUUGUGCGCGCGUUUUCGUUAGCUAGUUUGGCUCUCUUUUGGUGGAGAUAAGGUGCUUCGCGUUAGGCUUCUUUUCUUUUCCUUUGGUGGAUGCUUUGAAUUCUAGUGCGUCUAAAAGAAGACGGAUCUAAGUCUGAAUAGGAAUAGACUUGAGUUUGUCUAUAGUGGUGAGACAGAGAAUGCCAUAGAUUUUCUAUUUAGCGUCUCGCGGAUAUGUCUCUCUGUUUGUGCAUUGCCAAUUGGCUUAGCGUUGACCUGUUUAUGAAGAAGGUGAAUUGUAUUUAAGCAUCAACCUCGGAUGCCAUCUACCUAUGUCUGUAUAAUUGAUUCUAUUGCAAAAGCACAUGGAAUUAUUGAUAUCAUGUCUGAUAGAAUAUACGAAGUCAUAUUUUGUGCUCACAACAGGAAGAGUUGGAUUAGAUUAAUUAACCAGUAAAGUGAUAUCACCACCUCCAAAUUUAUAAGUCCUCGCUUGAAACUUAUACUUUGGUAUCUCGUACAAAGCAAUAAAUUACGAGAAUAACAAUGGCGUUUUAGUUGGUCCAAAUUGCUCAGCGAUAAUAGGAUGCAUCAACACAUUUAUGUCGUUGAAUAUGAAUACAGAAUAUUGAUAUUUCUAAAUCUAUAGCCUGUUCAUGAGAAAAUCACUGCCCCUUGUGUAAAUUUACAAUUUGUCCUUUUCCCUGAAGAAGCAUGACUUAUUGGGUGAACUGAUUAUACACUCAGUACGAGUAGACACAUGCGAGGCUUACUAUGAGGAACGAAAAAGCGAUGUUCUCGGCAUUAGUCACAAUGAUACACGAACAAGUAAAUUCUACUCAUACGAACAUCUGUAGAAAUGUCAUGGCGAUGGAAUACAAGACAGUUGAUGCAGUUGAAAUAUCUAAUUCCAGAAUUGAUUAAACAUGCCACCCCAUUCAGGUUUAUAGAGACAACCGAAAUGAAGCAUCAAUAGCCAAACAAAGGCUAGAAGUUCUCCACCUUUGCUCAGCACCUUCACAUGUGCCUCUCCCUUAAUAUGAAUUGCUGUAUAUGACAACAUCUCAACCCACACUCCACUUAUCACCUUCCACUUCCUAUCGCCAUGGAUUUCCAUCUUUCGAGCCAAAUCGGCCCCUAAGUUGGGCAGGGAUGCUGAAUAUGAGUUUCCUGAAGGAGUCUCAUACAAUCUCUUGCAUAGCCCCUCCACAUCCAUGGUCGCAUCACUGAAUUGACGCCGUAAAGGAAUCAAUGCCGACUCUGAAUGCAUUUGGGCAAUUCCUGCCAUAGCGGACACCAAAUUAGACUGAUUAAGUAAAAGAUACAACAUGUAGUCCGAAAGGAUCUUGCUAAACUCCCUUUCAUCAUUUCUCGCCGUAAAUGGCUUCUCCCAGUUGUAGCAGAUUUCAGUAGCAAGAUGCCAUUUUAUAAUAUUGAAGUCAAAGGUGCCCUCGGUGUACUCUAAAAGAUUACGGCAAUCGCACCCCAUUGGGCUACUCUUGAGAAACAAGUCACCUCUAGCCUCAAAUAUCUUGCUCACCUCUGUAUGAUCUUGUGCAUCCUUAGAUUUACGUCUCACUUCCUCAAAGAUAAAAAUCCAUAGCUUCUUAAUAAAAGGAUUAUGGGAGACAUACUUUGUAUUCGCAAUCAUUUUUAGCUUCCUUUCCGUGUUUCUCAGGCCACACCCUCCAAUGAUUGUUUCACUUGCUUGAUGGAAACAAGAGAUGAUCUUCUCAGUAAUAUGAAAUGGAAAAUUGCGAAUAUUGGAGAAAGUGAUAAUGCCCCAGUGUCGAUCAUGCUUAUACAUCUUUCUCGGACUCUCCUUGAAAAACUCGGAGAAAAGGUUGCAAGCAUAAAUGGAUUCUGACCACCUUCGAAAUAUUAAUGGUGUAUCUAAGACCACAUAAGUAACAUUGGCAUGAGGUCCUGAUUCACAUAUGGCAAAUCGUGGCACCCUGAGUACAUCCAUGGCGGACAACAAUUUGUGGAGGAAUGCAUCUAGUUUAAAUGAUCUUGUGUUGCACCACUUGAUUUCGGCAACAGUCCAAUCGGAGAAAAUGAGCAUGACUAGAGCUAUUGCAUCAAGAGCAAUACCUCCCAAAAGAAGGAAAUAAGUAAUUUCCACAUCAAUUUCCAGGAGGUGAUGCUUUUUCAAUCGAUUGAAUAGGAAGAACGCCGUUACAAUGUUUGUGAAGGCUAUGAAGCGGAAAAUGUAGCUCCAAUUCGAACGUAUUGCUAAUGCUUUUGUCACGCCCCGAUCCUCGGGUACGCACACAUCCUUCUAAUUUGGUCGAUUUUAUAAUGCGAUAUCCCAGGACUAGUAUCGCCGACCCUUUCAUUUAUUAAGCACAUGCGGAAGCAGUUAAAAUCCCCAGAUAAUAAAUCAAUGGGAUAGAAAGGCAGGGCCAUAUUUUUCAUAUUGAAAUUUAUAACCAAACUUUUAUACAAAACACAAAUCACUUCAUAACUAUUCACAUCAAAAUGGAGAUCUCAAAAGAAGAUAGGAUCUCAAUCCAUCCAGGCCAUACUCAAGGCCCAUCUCGGUAUUAUCUUCUUCUUUCAAAAUCCUUCCCUUCAAGUUUCACCUCCAAGAUCUCCUUCCCAGACUUCUCCUCCUCAGCUCCUUAUCGGGUCCUGAAAUGUUUUUCCCCAAACUGGGAUGAGACUACGUCUCAGCGAGUUCUACCCCACUAAGCCCGAUUAGUAAACCACUAUACUAUAGGCUGCCUAUACACGCACAGGACAGAAGACGUACCUUGGCAUCAGAUCCCACCUGCAAGUCAGUACAAUUCAUAAUAGGCACCCAAGCAAUCAUAUCACCGAUCGAAGCAUCGAUCAAAUCGACCUAGUCGAUUACAAGCCAAUAAGACCACUCACGGUCAUUCCCAUUCAAUCAAUCAAUUCACAACAUCAGAUCAAAACAAUGAUCAAUCGACUUAGUCGAUUACAUGCCAACAAGACCAAUCACGGUCAUUCCCAUUCAAUCAAUCAAUUCACAACAUCAGAUCAAAACAAUGAUCAAUCGACCUAGUCGAUUACAUGUCAUUCGGACCACCUCUAGGUCAUUCCCACUCAUACCACGAUUUCCCAGUGGUGUACUCAUUCACCAAAUCACAUGUGUUUCUCGGGCGUCGUUUUCGCCAAUGACAUACCGAUCACCGACACCGUGCAUUCUUUAAGGCGCCGUUUUCACCAGUGAUAACCUUGAUCACCGAACCACGUGUCCUUUCAAGGGCGCCGUUUUCGCCAGGUGACAUCGGCUAUAGACAACAUCGUGCGUUCUUUAAGGCGCCGUUUUCACCAGUGAUAUUCCCAUAACCACCGAACCACGUUUGUCUAUAAGUCAUUUACGUGCGUUCUUUAAGGCGCCGUUUUCGCCAGUGAUACUCUCAAUCACCGAACCACGUAUGUCCAAUAAUAUCGUACCUGAUUGGUCUCAGCCAAUAACAUUCUCAGUUAGCUCUCACCAUUCUCCCUACUAUAUAGCCCAUCAACGUACUGGCGCUAUAUACCCAUACUCAGCCAUCCAUCAAUCAAAUAUUCAAUAACAAACAAUUUAGGACAAUUCAUAAAAUUCCACAAUAAAUUCAAUUCCACACAACGUAGAGCUCAAAUAAAUAAACGGUCUGCACCACGACAAUCAGCACGAAAUUUCGGUCCAUCGGGCCAUCAAAAUCUUAAUUUCCGAAAAAUAAAUAAUUAAUUAAUUAAUUUCGAAAAUUAAUUAAUAAUUAUUAAAAAUCCAAUUUAGCACAAAAUAAAGCCCAAUUAAAUAAACGGACUUCACCACGGUCAUCAGCAUAAAAUUCCGGUCACUGGCCAUCCCAGUUGAAUUUCCGAGAAAUAAAUAAUUAAAUAAUUAAUUUCGGAAAAUAAAUAAAUAAAUACAAUAAAUUCAAUUUAGCACAAUAUAAAGCUCAAUUAAAUAAAUGGACUGCACCACGAUCAUCAGCAUAAAAUUCCAGUUCCGAACCAUCUCGGUUGAAUUUUCGGAAAAUAAAUAAUUAUUUAAUUAAUUUCGAAUAUUAAAUAAUUAAUAUUAAAAAUCCCAUUUAGCUCAAAUUAAAGCCCGAUUAAAUAAACGGACUUCACCACAGUCAUCCGCAUAAUAUUCCGGUUCCGAACCAUCUCCCUUGAAUUUUCGGAAAAUAAAUAAUUAUUUAAUUUAAUUCCGAAAAUUAAUAUUUAAAUACUAAAAAAUCCACUUAGGCCCGAAAAGCCUAAUUGGAGCCCACUAAGGGUCAGGAAAAAUCCCGAGGCACUUCCAACAAUUAGUAGACCACGUCUACUUGCUAAUUGCACAAUCAAUUUAUCUAAAUCACAUCACAAUUGACUAAUAAUUGCUAAUUUAUCAUAAUCUAACAACCUAAACAUAAUUAAUUAAAUCUAAACCAACCUUAAGCAUAAUUAGCCAACUAAUCCAGGAUUAGUGAGAUUACUCACCAAAUCGCACGCAAAUCGGAUCAAUCCGAUGGCGGCGACGCGAGGAACGAUUGUUCCCAAAGCACGGCUCGGGUUUGGGGCCGGGAAACGGUCCAAAAGCGGGCCCGAAGUGCUGGAAACCCACUUCGUGGGUCUGCUGGACGGAGCUGAUCGGGGCUGCUCUGGCGGCUAGGGCGGCAAGGGGAAGCCGGCGGAGGGCGAGGGGGUCGCGGGGGAGGUCCGGCGGGGCUAGGCGGUGGCCGGAGGUGGCCGGACGGUGGCUGGUCGGUGCGGAACAGAGGCGAACAGCGGCUGGUUCGCGCGGCCUGGGCGUGCGCGGACGGCGGAACGGCGGCGAGCGCGCGGGCGGCGGUGCGGCGGUGCGGCGGCGGGACGAGCGGCGAGCGGGCGGCGGUCGCGGCGACGGAGCUGCAGCUUCUGGUCUUCCUCCGCUUCUGGUUCGCUCGAACGGAAGGGGGAAGGAAAUGUCGAGGGAGAGAGAUGAGAGAGAGGAGGGGAGAUAAACAUUGACUGGUCAAAGGAAGAGAGAGAGGGAAUGGGCGGUGGGGAAUUCGCACGAGGGGGAGGGAAAAAGGGGAGAGGAGAGAGAAAGAAAAGAGAGAAAAGAAAGAAAAGAAAAGAGAGGGAGAGAGAGAAAAGAAAUAAAACAAUAGCCUUAAUUUUCUUUUCUUUUCUCUUUCCUUUUCUAUUUCUUUUCGGGCUUCAAAUUUUCUUCCGAUAAUUUCUUUCUUGAAAUUUCGGACUCGUCAAUAAAUUGACGAGCGAUGAGACAAAAUCCUAAAAAUAAGAAUUGUGACGAGCUUAAAAUUCGAUUCCCGAAAUCGAGUUCAAUUUCGUGGUUAAAAAUCGAUCAGACGUGAUUUUAGCUCAAUCUAACCAAUUAGGUAGCUUUUAGGGAUUUUACGGCCGAUACAUCCCUUAACGGCUUCACCCAAUAGGUUAGUUAACUCGUGAAUGAUCAGCUCAGAGAAAAAGGGCCGUAAACACGUUGACGAAAUGCCCAUUUCACUUUAUCGAAACGGGGUCGAAUUUCAGGAUGUCACACUUUUGUGUGGAGCACCUCGUACAUGAAAUGUAGUUCAACUGAUAUCACCCUCAAUGCAUCCAGUGCAGAAACUUUGUGAAAAUAUCUGCGGCUUAUUGCGCGUUGUCGACCUGUGUAGAGGAAAUCUAUGAGGAAGACCUUGAAAAUUUGAAAGAAGUAGUAAGCAUGCUUUACCACAAUGCUCUCGGCAAGCAUUGCUUCUUCUUCUUCCUUCACUUGAACAUUGAGUUCUUCAAUCAACUCGUUAUCUGCAUCAUCCGAUAUCAUGUGCUGUGAGUACACCCAUUCCCUGAGCCUUGGGUGGCUUGAGAGAUUAAGCGCCAAUGUUCUCUCCGCAUUUUUUGUGAUUGCGGCAAGAAAUACCAGCAUUGUUGGGAUCGCCAUCGACUUGUCGUUGGGAAAUAUUUGCACAAAGAUAUAGAUGGCGGCACAAAUUUGGAAGACGAGACCGAGCAGGUGCCGUGGCCACAGUGAACUAUCCUCCAUAGAAAAGGCAACAAUGGUGUCUGGACCGCCAAGAUGCAAUAAGAGAAAUGAGCCCCAAAAUGCCUGAAGUGCUCCGUCUACUUCAGCUGCACAAGUGCAUGAAUUACCUUGGUUGUUAGAGAUGACCCCGAUUGCAAAUGCUGCUACCCAGUCGGCCAUCAAAUAGGUCAACCACAAAAGCGAAACAAUGUGAUGGUUUGCUAUUUUCUUUCUAAGGGGUGCAAACAGAAUGAGAAAGACUUGAAGCGAGAGACUUAGUAUGACGAAACCUCGAAUGUUCCAUUCGUUCCAUACAACCCAAAUGGAGCUAAACAUGUUUUUGGUUAGUCUCUUCUCUCAAAUAUAAUUUCGGGGCAACAAGAUGUAUAGGAGGAAUGGUGAGGAAUGUAUAUAUGCAUGUUAAAAUGGUUCCAUGUUUAUGGUAUCCAGUCAAAAACCAAGAAGGAAGAAUAAUCAUGAACGAACUAUUUCCCGUACAAAAUGAAGCCCGGGAUAGAUCCAACUAUGAGUUGAUUUAACCACCAGUGGAGUAAAUUAAAUGUUUACGCUGGGCCAUGUGUCCCCGAAAGUGGACGACACCAUUAGGUUAUUAAUUGCUAAACCCGUCCAUUAUUAGGUACUUCACAAGGCAUUUUAGCAAUAUAUAUAUGGUACUCCACAAGACAAUGAGAAUGUCAUUCACUCAAUUUUGAUCUUGAUUCAACCAAUUAUAAAAAUUCACCAUAAAGUUUUCUUUAGCCAAAGAAAUGGGAAAACAAAAUUGUAAGCGAGAGCCAUAUUGGAGUUAAAAUAAGUAGGACGCUCGAAAAAGGCGUCUCCCACCAAAGCAAGGGGCCAUUGGUUUUCAAUAAUCAGGAAUCUCUCUUUGUAAACAUAUUUUUUUGUUCUUUUUUUUUUCUUGAUCAUCGAUUUCUACAACCUGAAAUUGUUCCCUUACUUUCUUUUUCUUUAUAACUAGACAAGAUUAGCUGUUAUAAAAUUAAAAUUUAUAGGAAGAAUAUAAUAAAUUUUAGUUAAUAUUGCACGGGCUCAAUUUGACAAAACAAAAUGAAGAGACAAUCUGUGCAUUAAGACACUGACGUGACUCAACAUUCUACCAAAUUUGAUUUUGUGCAAGUUCAGAACAUUGCAGGGAGACUGAAGUAAUUGAGCCGGGCUAAGGAUUGUAGCAUCGCUUUAUUCGACGGUUGCUUCUGGAUACAAAGUCAUGACUCGAAACAAUAAGCAUCACCCACCUAAUAUAUUUCUUCAUGCAUGAGAUAUUGUCAAUAAGCAAUAAUUUUGACCCAAUUCCAUGGGCGACAAAUCUUACAUUGUCCUAGACAAUGAACCUAAAUAUAAAGAGGGAAAAAGGUGAGAAAUAGGAAAGAAAAAAACAUAUUGCCCUACAUUGACAAAAGGUAAAAGGAUGAGAAAAGAGAACCCCUUCAUAUGGACAAAACUCAUCGAGUUCAUCCCACGCCAACUUUUAAAAAGAUCAUAAUAAAGAUAAAGAGAGAUUCCUGAUUUGUGGAGAACCUGUUGCCACUUGCUUUGAUGGGAUUCAGACAUGCCUUUUUGGCUUAUAUCAUCCACAUGAAAGGGAAAGUAAACUUUUGAGAGGAAUUCUGUCAAUGGUUGAAUCGAGAUCAAAAUUGAGUGAAAGCCUUUCAUUAAAAGCGCAUUAUCAUUAUCUUGUGAAGUACAUAAUCAUUGAGUGAAAUGAUAUUAUUCUUAUAUCUGUUGAAAUAUGUGGUUCGCGUUUUCCAUUAUCUUUGAAAGCACAUUGUCAUUGCCAUUAUUAUAUGCGGAAUGAUUAGUUCAUGAUUUCUUUUACCUUCUUGGAUUUUUUAAUUUGUUCAUUCUUCUGACGUAUAAGUCAGGAAGCAUCUCAACAUGUAUAUAUGCACAUUUUGCUGUAAUUUCGUUAAAUCAACUAACGUUCAACAUCACGCAUCACUGAAAUCUGCUGAUGGACACCGAUCUCAUAAAAUUAUUGUCUGAUGGAGAAAAUCUGACUAGUUUCAUGCAUGUAGCCAUUCACUUGAACUGAAAAAUAAAUGUGCAAAUGCCAUCUCUACACGUAGUACACUCUCUUCAGGUCGAUAAUUUUCCUUCUAUGUUCAGUUACCUUAAACAGAAUUUUCAUCAACGUAAUCCUUGUCAGCUAAUCUUGUCUAGUUUGGGCUAUGAUAAUCAAUAAUCGAGAAAAUAAGAAGAUAAGAUAGAUUCCUGGUUUGUGAAAACCUCUAGCCACUUGCUUUGGCGGGAGAGAGACGUGCCUUUUUGGAGCAUCCCGCUUGUAUAAACUCCAAUUUGGCUUUUGCCUUCUUCCUCUUUUCAUUGGCUAAAGCACACUUUUGGUGAACUUUUGUCCCGCGAAGCAAGAUCAUAAUGAAGGGUUUAGCAAUUAAUAACCUAAUGGCGUUUUCCACUUUUGUGGACCCACGACCCAAUGUAAACAUUCAAUUUAAUCCACUAGUAGUUAAACCAACUCAAGUUAGAUAAAUCUCGAGCUUCAUUUCAUUCACGGAAUGGUUGGUUUACGAUUUUUGCACUUUUAGGUUUUUGCAUAAAAACUAUCUUUUGACAAACAAGGGACCAUCUCAAUUUGUAUAUGUACAUUCCUUGCUAUUCCUCCCCUGCUAUUCUUACUGAAAUUAUAUUGCACGGAGCGAUCAAAUUCAAACCUAGCAUAGACAUGGGUUUUAACUUCAUUGUGGAUCUAUGGAACAAAUUGAAUAUUUAAGGCCUCGUCAUCCUUGUAUAAAUAUUUAAGCUAAAAAUAUUUAAGUAUUACGCUCCACUCUACGCUUAGUUGUAAAUUUCUACUUCCCUAGUAAUGUCUGCAAAGACUGUUUGCUUGAUGCAUGUAAACUCUCCUGACUGAUAGUUGAGAGGAUAGUUUUGUUGCAAUCAAAAUUGUACUGGAAAGGGAAAAUAAAAUUUUAAGUAAAAACAUGGCAUUUAGCUCAUUUUUCUCUAUGGAACAAAUGGAUCAUCUAAGGUUUUAUCAUACUGAAUCUCUCCCUUCUAGUCUUUCUUUUUCUAUUUGCUCCCGUUAGAAAGAAAAUAGUGAAUCACUGCAUCGUUUUCCUCUUGCAAUUGACUUAUUUGAUGGCUAUAGUUUUUCCCAAAAAAAAAAAACAAUAAAAGCAAAAUGAAUAUCUUGUGCAAUCAUCAUUUAAUCUACCAAAUAUUAAUAUUUUUGCUUUUUUAAUACCAAGGAUUCAGUCUAGCUCACUUUCGGGAGCACAACACCGACUAUACCUCAAGAGAGACUAGCCCAACAACCCACCGCUGAGCCCCCCGCUUAAAUCACAGAACUACUUUAAGAGUCGUGAACGACUCAGAGAGUCGAACCCCUAACCCGAUGGCCAAAUCAGGGGGUACGCCUCAAUCAGUGCAGCCAUGCGUGGGUGGGUGCCACAUAUUAAUAUUACUAAUUGGUUUCAUGAACAAACCACUUUUUCUAAGUUACCUUUUGCUUGGCGGCCCUUGCCAGCACUUCUGGGAAGAUGAUUUUGUCAAUUCUCAUUUGUUGGGUGUUGUAUGAUUUUGCUAUCGAUCUAAAAGUACUGAUAUUUGGCAGAACUGUUGAGUUCUUCAACUAGGUUGAUUUACCUUGGAUCGAGGUAAAUCAUUGGAUAUACAGAUGAGAGUAAUCUAUUUAUAAUGAUAAUUUGAGCCAUCUUAUUUGUCAAAUUUUUAUACUCAAAGGGAUGAGAAAAUGCACCUAGCGUGAUUAUCUUCUUUGAAUGUAACCUUACAUAAUUAUAAAUUUGGAAUCUUUACCAGAUUCCAAUCAUGACAAUCAGGUGAGGAGAAAGAAGAAAAUUAAAAUUUUGCCCUACAUGACAAAAUGCAAGAGGGUGGGAAAAGAGAAGAAAAGGAUUACAAUAAUACAAAAAGAUGAAGAAGUGUUUUGUCUCGUUGGGGCAUGGUGGACAAAGUUUAUGCCUAUUAAACUGCCUAAUUUGAUUAGAUUUCACUAAGAGAGUUGUUAAAUUGUAAGCCAACUAAUUGAUUGAGUCAUUCAUUUUCACUCUGAAUAUCCCAUGUUAAAGUUUGAGAAUGUGAUCGCCUUUCAUGUUUUUCUCGUGAGACUUACCAUCUUGAAAAAUAAAAUUCACUGCUCAAAUGGUUAAGAGAGUUAAAGGGGAUAAUAUAUUCCAUUGACAGUGCUUAAAAAUUCGCCUCAUUAAUAGUGCAUUCAACAACCUCUUCAUUGGAUUUAUGUUUGUUGGGUCUCUUUUAUCUCUUAUGGAACAUUGACAAAAAAAAAUGAAGAAUACGCACAAGCUUAUCUGAUUUACAAUCAACCUCAUACCUCACAUUAGUUCAAGUAAAAAGAAGUCAUAUCUACUGGAACACUACGUUCGAGACAUAAAUAGCUGCUAGAUUAUGAGGAGAUGAUAGCAUGUCACAUUCACACGUACAAAAGGACCCCUGUUAACCAAGCAAUUUCCCGGAAUCUCUCAUCAUCUAACAAAACGCAUAAGAUCCAAAGAGCUAGUGGCCAUUAUCCAAAAAGUCUUUAGUCUUUUUUGAAGUAUUUUAUGGACUCAUUAUAGACAGAAUCUCUUAAAGUAGAUAGUAGGGGGACAAAGAAGACCUACUUUACUUCAUGGAAACCUUUUUAAAGGAACUUUAUGGACUAACUAUUGAAAAGGGGAAAAAGGUCCAUCAUGCCCAAAUAAUACAUAAACCUUGACUCGAUCAAGACUUAGCGAUGCUCUAAACUAGUAUAUUCUGAGAUAGUCUUUAUCAAAUCAAUGCAUAAAAUAUAGUUGCAUUUUCAUUUAUAAGAAAUUAUAUAUUCUUUAUCACAUGGUUUUAUGUAAUAUAGUUAUGUGUUGUAAGGCCAAAAAAUUAAUUGUAUGUAUUCCAAACUCAAUUGCAAUCAAUACCCACAUAUUCAACUCUCUGUAAUAGAUCAGUAAUCCAACCAUUCAUUAUAUUUGCGAAUGACAUAAAUUUAAAAAAAUAGUGUGAAAGUAUGCAUAGUAAAAGACCAAAAUGCGAGGACUCGCCACGUAAUAGCAAAUGACAAUAGUGCAAGAAAGCAAUUGAAAUAAUGUUGUUGUGUCAUAUCAUUUAAUUUGUUAUUAAUGAAAAUCAAGAAUUCGAUUCCAUUUGUGGUCCAGUCAUAUCAGAAAUCACUUACACCAUAAACAAAAGGUGGGUCUUAAUUAGAAGUCCCUCUUUUUUAUGUGGUCCAAUUUGUCAUACUUUUUCAAAAUAAGAAACUAUUUUUUUUAUAACUAUUUUUGCCCAAGCACUCAACAAUAAAUCGUAUAAUAAAUGAAAAGGACGAAUAAAGGAAAAUUGAGAACUGGACAUUUUCGACUUCUAAGAAACACAAGAAAAUUGCAAAUAAUAAUAAUGCAAAAAAAUGAAGAAGUGUUUUGUCUCAUUGGGGGCAUGGUGGACAGAGUUUAUGCAUAUUAAAUUGUGCAAUUUGAUUAGAUUUCACUAAAAAUGUAAAUUCUUAAAUUAUAAGCCAAUUAAUUGAUAGAGUCGUUCAUUUUCAUUAUAAAAAUUGCAUAUGAAAUUUGAGGAUCUGAUCGCCUUUCAUGUUUUUCUUGUGAGACCUACCAUCAUGAAAGAUAGAAUUCAUUGUUCAAAUGGUUAAGAGAGUUGAAUGGGAGAAUAUAUUCCAUUGAUUGUGUUUCAAAAUUCGCCUCAUCAAUAAUACAUUCAACAACCUCCUCGUUGGAUUUAUGUUUGUAUAGUCUCUUUUAUCUCUUACUAGAUAUUAACCAAAAAAUGAAGAAUACGCAUGAGCUGAUCUAAUUUACCACCAACCUCAUACCUCACAUUAGCUCAAGUAAAAAGAAGUCAUAUCUACUGAAACACUAUGUUCGAGAUAUAAACAAAUGUUGGAGUAUGAGGAGAUGAUAACAUGUCACAUUCACAUACAUGAAAGGUCCCCUAUUGGCCAAGUAAUUACCGAAAAUCCCUCGUUAUUUGACAAAAUGAGUAAGAUCCAAAGAGGUAGUGACCAUUCUCCAAAAAUUCUUGGUCCUUUUUAAAAUACUUUAUGUACUAAUUGUGAACAUAAUCUCUUAAAGUAGAUAGUGGGAAAAAAAGAAGACUAACUAAAAAAUGGUCCAUCAAAUAAUACAUAAACCUUGAUUCGAUCAAGAGUUAGCGAUGCCUCUAAACUAGUAUAUUCUUAGAUACUCUUUAUUGAAUUGAUGCAUAAAAUAUGGUUGCAUUUUCAUUUGUAAGAUAUUAAAUAUUCUCUGUCACAAUGUUUUAUAUAAUAUAGUUAUGAGUUGUAUGGCCAAAAAGUUAAUUGUAUGUAUUCCAAAUUGAAUUGUAAUCAAUACACACAUACCCAACUCUCAAUAAGAGGUCAGCAUCCAAACAUUCAUUAUGUUUGCAAAUGCCAUAUGUUAAAAAAGAUAACGUGGAAAUAUGCAUGCCAAAAGACCAAAAUGCGAGGACUUGCCUAGCAAUAGCAAAUGACAACAUUGCAAGAAAGCGAUUGAAAUAAUGUUGUUAUGUCAUAUCAUUUAACUUGUACAUUCAAUAACCUCCUCAUUGGAUUUAUGCUUGCCUAGUCUCUUUUAUCUUAUACUAAACAUUGACUAAAAAAUGAAGAAUAUGCACAAGCUGAUUCGAUUUACAACCAACCUCAUACCUCACAUUUGUUCAAGUAAAAAGAAGUCACAUCUACUUGAACACUACGUUCAAGACAUAAACAGAUGAUGGAUCAUGAGGAGAUGAUAGCAUGUUGCAUUCACACAUACGAAAGGUCCACUGUUGGCCAAGCAAUUAUCGAGAAUCCCUCACUAUCUGACAAAGCGCACAAGAUCCAAAGAGGUAAUGGCCAUUCUCCUUAAAGUCUUGGUCUUUUUUUAAGUACUCAAUGGACUAAUUGUGGACAGAAUCUCUUAAAGUAGAUAGUGGGGGGAAAAGUAGACCUACUUGACUUCGUGAAAACCUUUUUAAAAGAACUUUAUGGACCAAUUGUCCAAAGAGAAAAAUAAAAAUAAAGGUCCAUCUUGCCCAAAUAAUACAUAAACCUUGACUCAAUCAAGACUUAGCCAUCGCUCUGAACUACUAUAUUUUGAGAUACUCUUCAUUAAAUCGAUGCAUAAAAUAUAGUUGCAUUUUCAUUUAUAAGGCAUUAUAUAUUCUUUGUUACAUGGUUUUAUGUAAUAUAGUUAUACGUUGUAUGGCCAAAAAAUUAAUUGUAUGUAUUCCAAACUAAAUUGUAAUCAAUACUCAUGUACUCAACUUUAAGUAAGAGAUCAGCAAUCCAAACAUUCAUUAUGUUUGCAAAAGAUAGCAUGGUAGUAUGCAUGGCAAAAGAGACUUGCCUAACAAUAGCAAAUGAUGAUGGUGUAAAAAAGUGAUGGAAAUAAUGUUGUUAUGUCAUAUCAUUUAACUUGACAUUAGUGAGAAUCAAGGAUUUGAUUCCAUUUGUAGUUGGGUCAUAUUAGAAAUCAUUUAGGCUAUAAACAAAAUGUGGAUCUUAAUUAGAUGUCCCUCUAUUUUUAUGCGAUCCCAUUUGUCAUACUUUUUCAAAAGAAGAAACUAUCAUUUUUUUUAUAACUAUUUUUGCCCAAGCUCUCGAUAGUGAAUGGUAUAGUAGAUUAAAUGGGCAAAUAAAGGAAAAUCGAGAACUAGAAAUUUUCAACUUCCUAGAAACACAAAGAAACCAAAGAUAACAAUCAUACAAAAAGAUGAAUAAGUGUUUUGUCUUGUUAAGGCAUGGUGGACAAAGUUUAUGCCUAUUAAACUACAUAAUCUGAUUAGAUUUCACUAAGAGCAUAAGUGCUGAAUUAUAAGCCAACUAAUUGAUUGAGUUCAUUUUUAUUAUGAAAAUCUAAUGUUAAAAUUUGAGGAUGUGAUCUCCUUUUAUAUUUUUUCUUAUGAGACUUACUAUCUUGAAAGAUAGAAUUCACUUCUCAAAGGGUUAAAAGAGUUGAAGAGGAGAAUAUUUUCCGUUGACAGUGCUUCAAAAUUCGUCUCAUCAAUAGUGCAUUCAACAACCUCCUCAUUGGAUUUAUACUUAUCUGGUCUCUUUUAUCUCUUACUAAACAUUGACAAAAAAAAAAUGAAGAAUACGCACAAGCUAAUUUGAUUUACAACCAACCUCAUAUCUCACAUUAGUUCAAGCAAAAAUAAGUCAUAUUUAUUGGAGCACUACGUCCAAGAUAUAAACAGAUACUGGAGCAUGAGGAGAUGAUAGCAUGUCAUAUUCACACACAAGAAAAGUCCUCUGUUGACCAAGCAAUUACCGAGAAUCGCUCGUUAUCCAACAAAACACGUAAAAUCCAAAGAGGUAAAAACCAUUCUCUAGAAAGUCUUGGUUUUUCUUAAAGUACUUUAUGAACUAAUUAUGGACAUAAUCUUUUAAAGGAGAUAGUUUUUUUUUUUUUUUGAGAGGGGGGGAGACCUACUUGACUUCAUGGAAACCUUUUUAAAGGAACUUUAUGGACUAAUUGUCCAAAGAGGAAAACAAAAAAAAGGUCCAUCCUCCCCAAAUAAUACAUAAACCUUAACUCGAUUAACACUUAGCAAUGACUCUAAACUAGUAUAUUAUAAGAUACUCUUCAUUAAUUCGAUGCAUAAAAUAUAUUUGCAUUCUCAUUUAUAAGACAUUAUAUAUUCUCUGUCACAUGGUUUCAUGUAAUAUAGUUAUGUGCUGUAGGGCCAAAAAAUUAAUUGUAUGUAUUCCAAAUUGAAUUGUAAUCAAUAUCCACAUACUCAACUCCUAGUAAGAGAUCGGCAACCCAAACAUUUAUUAUGUUUGCGAAUGUCAUAUAUUCAAAAAGAUAGCAUGGAAGUAUGCAUGGCAAAAAACUAAUAUGCGAGGACUCGCCUAACCAUAACAAAUGACGAUGUUGCAAGAAAGCAAUUAAAAUAUUGUUGUUGUGUCAUAUUAUUUAACUUGUUAUUAACGAGAAUUAAGGAUUUGAUUUCAUUUGUAGUCUAGUCAUAUCAAAAAUCAUUUAGGCUAUAAACAAAUGUGGGUCUUAAUUAGAUGUCCCUUUAUUUUUAUGCAGUCUCAUUUGUCAUACUUUUUCAAAAGAAGAAACUAUCAUUUUUUUUAUAACUAUUUUUGUCCAAACUCUUGACAGUGAAUGAUAUAACAAAUGAAAAAAAUGAAUAAACCACCUGUGGCGGCGGCAUAGUGGUUGGGCGCUGGUUCCUUUCACAAGAGGUCCAAUGUACAAAUCUCUGCGUCGUUUGCCUUGUUGGAAAGGAACCUACGACUUACCCGGGGAGCAAGGGUGGUGCUAACUCUACUCCUUCUAGGGUUUACUCCAACCGCGAAGCAGCGCACGGAGGUUCCCUGGGUUACCAAAACAAAAAAAAAAAUGAAAAGAACGAAUAAGGAAAAUUAAGAACUAGACAUUUUCGACAUCUAAGAAACACAAGAAGAUUGGAGAUAACAAUAAUGUAAAAAGAUGAGGAAGUUUUUUGUCUCAUUGGGGCAUGGUGGACAAAGUUUAUACCUAUUAAAGUGCCUAAUCUGAUUACAGUUCACUAAGAGUGUAAGUUGUUGAAUUGUAAACCAACUAAUUGGUUGUCAUUCAUUCUCACUCUAAAAAUCCCAUGUUGAAAUUUGAGGAUGCUUCCAGAUUCGUCUCAUCAAUAGUGCAUUCAACUAUGUCCUCAUUGGAUUUAUAUUUGUCUAGUCUCUUUUAUCUCUCAUUGAAUAUUGACCAAAAGAUUAAGAAUACACAUGAGAUGAUAGCAUGUCACGUUCACACGUACGAAAGGUCCUCUGUUGGCCAAACAAUUACCCAGAACCUCUCGUCAUCUGACAAAACACAUAAGAUCCAAAGAGGUAGUGGCCAUUCUCCUAAAAGUCUUUUGUCUUUUUUAAAGUACUUUAUAGACUCAUUAUGGAUAGAAUCUCUUAAAGUAGAUAGUGGGGGGAAAAGAAGACCUACUUGACUUCAUGGAAACCUUUUUAAAAGACUAUAUGGACUAAUUGUCGAAAAAUGGGGGAAAAAGGUCCAUCAUACCCAAAUAAUACAUAAACCUUGACUCGAUCAAGACUAGGGGAGAAUAUCUUCCAUUGACAGUGCUUCCAAAUUCGUCUCAUCAAUAGUGCAUUCAACUAUGUCCUUAUUGGAUUUAUACUUGUCUAGUCUCUUUUAUCUCUCAUUGAAUAUUUGACCAAAAAAAUGAAGAAUACACAUGAGAUAAUAGCAUGUCACGUUCACACGUACGAAAGGUCCCCUGUUGGCCAAAUAAUUACCCAGAACCUCUCGUCAUCUGACAAAACACAUAAGAUCCAAAUAGAUAGUAGCCAUUCUCCUAAAAGUCUUUUAUCUUUUUUAAAGUACUUUAUGGACUCAUUGUGGACAGAAUCUCUUAAAGUAGAUAGCGGGGGGGAAAAAGACCUACUUGAUUUCAUGGAAACUUUUUUAAAAGACUCUAUGGACUAAUUGUCGAAAAAUGGGGGAAAAAUGUCCAUCCUACCCAAAUAAUACAUAAACCUGGACUCAAUCAAGACUAGGGGGAGAAUAUCUUCCAUUGACAAUGCUUCCAAAUUCGUCUCAUCAAUAGUGCAUUCAACUAUGUCCUCAUUGGAUUUAUACUUGUCUAGUCUUUUUUAUCUCUCAUUGAAUAUUGACCAAAAAAUGAAGAAUACACAUGAGAUGAUAGCAUGUCACAUUCACACGUACGAAAGGUCCCCUGUUGGCCAAACAAUUACCCAGAACCUCUCGCCAUCUGACAAAACACAUAAGAUCCAAAGAGGUAGUGGCCAUUCUCCUAAAAGUCCUUUGUCUUUUUUAAAGUACUUUAUAGACUCAUUGUGGACAGAAUCUCUUAAAGUAGAUAGUGGGGGGGAAAAGAAGACAUACUUGACUUCAUGGAAACCUUUUUAAAAGACUAUAUGAACUAAUUGUCGAAAAAUGGGGGAAAAAGGUCCAUCCUAUCCAAAUAAUACAUAAACUUGACUCGAUCAAGACUAGGGGAGAAUAUCUUCCAUUGACAAUGCUUCCAAAUUCGUCUCAUCAAUAGUGCAUUCAACUAUAUCCUCAUUGGAUUUAUACUUGUCUAGCAUUUUUUUUUAUCUCUUAUUGAAUAUUGACCAAAAAAUGAAGAAUACACAUGAGAUGAUAGCAUGUCACGUCCACACGUACGAAAGGUCCCCUAUUGGCCAAACAAUUACCCAGAACCUCUCGUCAUCUGACAAAACACAUAAGAUCUAAAGAGGUAGUGGCCAUUCUCCUAAAAGUCUUUUAUCUUUUUUAAAGUACUUUAUGGACUCAUUAUGGACAGAAUCUCUUAAAGUAGAUAGUGAGGGGAAAAGAAGACCUACUUGACUUCAUGGAAACCUUUUUAAAAGACUAUAUGGACUAAUUGUCAAAAAAGGGGGGAAAAGGUUCAUCAUACCCAAAUAAUACAUAAACCUUGACUCGAUCAAGACUUAGCAAUGGCUCUAAACUAGUAUAUCUGAGAUACUCUUCAUCAAAUCGAUGUAUAAAAUAUAGUUGCAUUUUCAUUUAUAAGACAUUAUAUAUACUCUAUCAUAUGGUUUUAUGCAAUACAUUAUGCAGUGUAGGGCUAAAAAAUUAAUUAAUGUAUUUCAAACUAAAUCAUAAUCAAUAACCACAUACUCAACUUCAUGUGAGAGAUCAGCAAUCUAAACAUUCAUUAUAUUUGCGAAUGCCUUAUGUUAAAAAAUAUAGCAUGGAAGUAUGCAUGGCAAAGAAACAAAAUGCUAGGACUCGCGUAGCGAUAGCAAAUGAUGAGAUUGCAAGAAAUUGAUUGAAAUAUUGUUGUCAUAUCAUUUAACUUGUCAUUAAUGAGAAUCAAGGAUUUGAUUCCAUUCGUGGUCCAGUCAUAUCAAAAAUCAUUUAGGCUAUAAACAAAAUGUGGAUCUUAAUUAAUGUCCCUCUAUUUUUAUGCAGUCCUAUCUGCUGUGCUUUUUCAAAAAAUGAAACUAUCAUUCAUAUUUUAGAUUUUGAAAAUGGAUCAAGCUAAAAAGAUAUUGCUUGUAGACAAAGGUGAGGAGAGUCGGAGACACCUCGCAUUGGUUAACAUUUGUCCUCAUUAUGAAUAAAUUAUCUCGAUGAUUGUUCAUGGUUUUGAGUAAAUUAACGAGGCUUGGACUAUGCAACACUUUUAGUCUUGCAGGUAAUUGGGGGAGAAAAAAAAGAUAUCACCACCGGGUCUAAUCCACCUAGGAACUAGACCGGUCAAUCCGAUUCCAAGCCCAGCUGGGCCAGUUCCCAUUUCCACAAAUUAACAAUUCUCCCCCACCUUAGAAUGUCUACAAAGCACUCCUUUCUUAAUGCCUGGAAAAACUCUUGAUGGAUAGUUGAAUAACCAAAAUUAUAUUAGGCUCCGUUCGUUUCGCGGAAAAUGUGGAGUUUCUAAAAAAUAUUUUCCAAGAAGUCAUUCUCAAAAAAAAAAAAUGUAAUUAUUUUUCGGUGUUCGGAUGAAACUUGAAAAUGAAGUGAAAAAUAUUUUUCGCUAUUUGGUAAGGAAAAUAUUUUCCUUCAUAUACUCUUUUUCAUUAAUUUUAUAUUUUAAAAUGGAUUUUUCAUAUUUUUAAGAAUUGAUUUUUAAUUAUUUUUUAUUUUUAAAAUCUAUUAUUAAUUUUUUUUCAUUUUUCUUUUUAUUUUUCUUUUCUUUUUUCUUUGUUUUCUAUCUCCUUCUUUCUUGAUUGGUCGCUAGUCACGGCGAUGGCCUGUGACCGACCACCUAUGAGCCUCGAGCUCGCCAACGAGCACGAGGCUCGCCACUCCCUAGAUUGUUGAGCAUGAGCAUCAAGCUCGAGGCUCGCCAGAUUGACAAGUGUGAGCUUAAGAUCAACAAGCUUGAGACUUGGCAACGGCUGACGACUAGCCAAGAAAGAAGAAGAUGAGAAACAAAGAAAAGAAAAAUAAAAAAAAAAAUAAAAAAAGAAAUAGAAAAGAAAAAGGAAAUUAAAAAUAAUUUGAAUAAAAAAGAAAAAGAAAAUAUAAAGAAUAAUUCGAAUAAAAAAAGAAAAGAAUAAGAAGAAAUGGGAGGACGAAGUGAGGAUUUGUAGAAGUGUGAGAUAAGAGAGAUUAAGUUAGAAAAAUGUUUUCCACUUUUCAAAAGUAAAAAACAUUUUCCCCUAAUUUGGAAGACUUUUUUCCUUUCAUGGAAAACAUUUUCCUCAAUGAAUUUAUUUUCUAUGAAACGAAAGCCAGAAAAUCUAGAAAAUGUUUUCCCGGAAAUUAUUUUAUGCGAAACGAACGGAGCCUUAGAGAGAAAAAAUUCAAACUAGGGAAAAAUAUGGCAUUUAAUUUUAUUUCGGGUCUGUGGAAUAUAUGGAAUAUCCCAUACUUUGUCAUACUAAACCUCUUGUUUCAAGUCUUUUUCAUUCAACUUGCACCCCUUUAAAAAAAAUAAAAAAGCGAACUAUCGUAUCAUUUUUCAUUUACCGUUGAGCUACUUGAUGGCUGUAGUUUUUCCAAAAUCAAAUUGAAUAUCUUGUGCAAUCAUUAUUUAAUCUGCCAAAUGUAGAAAAUAAAUAACCAAUUUCACGAAGAAACAUUUUUCUUAUGUUAUCUUUCCCAUUUAGUCAUUGUUAAUAGAUAAGAAGACAAGUUUAAUAUCAGAGCCUCAAUUUUACAGCUGAUCUCUUUUCAUGAAUGAAUACAAUGAAAAUCGUUAGAGAAAAGAGACGAUUAUUAUAUUUGAAAGAAUAGAUUUAGUUUCCCUACCGGUGAAGGAAAACAAUAGGCUUAGUGACUUAUAUUGAGUCCACAACAACAAUAAAUGGUUUUGGCUCAAUAAUAAUAAUAAUGAAAAUAUAGAUUUAUAGUAAUGGAUAACCAAAAUGUAAGAAACAAACUCGAUUUAUUUUGCCACUUGAUGUUAAUAAUCCAUAUUUAUGGCACUGAUCCCUAAGGUUUUGGCUCUCGUUUUGUAUGAUUUAUUUAGAGAUGUUACAAAUUUUUUAGGAUAAAUUCGAUUAAAGUGGAUGAGGAAGAAUUAAGUUGGAUAAAUUCAAUGCUAGUCAAAUAAGACAGAAGAACUUGUUACUAAAAUGAUUUAGCUCAUAAAAUAAUUGUAAGAGAGAUCAUGUCACUAGAUAUUGUCUUUCUAUGUUUUUCUUUUUGAUCGACGAUUGUUUUAGAGUGGAAAAGCACGUCAAGAAUGGAAUCCCCUCCUUGCCUCUCGUGGUUGGAUGAAGUCAAAAAUUGACAAGGCACAACGGCCGAUGUCUACAUUAGUUAGUCACCUAGCAAUUUCAUCGUCUGGUGAGGGGUUGCUAGUGUGAAACCUGAGAUCAUAUAACAAAAGAAUAAUGAUGAUCACUAUUAACAUGAUUUGUCUAUUGCAAGCGUGAGGAAGUAUGUUUUCUUGGGCACAUUGGUAAGAAUAUUUUACAUGAAUUGCCACAUCAUUAGGCUCGUUGACAUUGAUAUUCUUUCUCGUAUACAACUCAUCUUUAAUUAUUCAGAUUGUCACAUUUUCCACUCAAUAUGUGCAUCGUGAAUAUAAAACCCCAAGGAGAUGGAGAUGGCCCCUUUGAUAAGGAGACGGAAUGGGAGUGCUUGUCUUCUUGUUUUGUCAGUUGUAUGACAUCAAUCGUUAGGCGUCAUACAAAAGCAUGCAUCGUGAUAGGCUUAUUGAUCUGCAAAAGUACGAAUUCCAUACGCAAUGAGGUUAAACUCCGGAUCCGGAUUACUAUAAUAAGUAAGACCGGUGGUUGAUUUUAUAAUAUAGUCUUUGUUUAUAAUCUCAAAGGCAUAAUUUAACAUGAAAUUUUAAUAAUAGUGGUUAUUGGUUGAAAACUUACCAGCCAUUAAUAUACGCAUUUCAAAUAUUAUCGUCAUAUUAACAAGGGCUAAUACCACGAAAAAAUCUCAAAUCAGUACAUUUAUGAUAAAUUUAUUUCAAACUAAUUUUCGGAUCAUCUAAAAUUCUAAAUUGGUAUAUCUGUGAUAAAUUUAUCGUAAAUUAAUUUUUAGAUAUCGAAUUCUCUAAAUUAAUAUAUUUGUGACAUAUUUACAUAAAUAAAAGUUGUAAGUGUUUUUUUGUUUACUUUCCUAUAAAAAAAUUAUAAGAUUAUGUAAAUUUCAAAAAAUUAUGCAAAAAAUUACUAGUAACAUUUCACUGUUUUUUCGACCAAAAUAGAAAAAAAAAAAACAUUUCACUGUUUCACAAUUGUAUAAAGCUCAAUUCCUAGUAGGAAAAAAUCACUUAGGAUGAAGUUACAAAAAAGAAUUUCCUUGCGAAUUCUCCUUCUCCGAGAUCAAUGGUCAAACUUUUGAUUAAGCAAGGAUAUAAACUUAAUCGGGUGUCCGAAAAUCGAUGAAGUUAAGAGAUACUGCGUGUAGAUGUGGACCAGAGUCAGUUCCCCACAUGGGUCGAUUUUGUCCUCAUUAUGAAUUAAUUAUCUCGAUGGUGGUCCAGAGUAAAUCAACGAGGUUUGAAAUUUGAGGAAAAUCACAGCCGGCCAAACGAUGAUGCAACUUCCACUCUUUACCAGAGAUAAUAAAUCUAUAUGAUAUAGAGAGGGAGUAGGCGAGAAAAUAUAAGAAAUAGCGUAUACUAUAUCGACGAAACUUAUUCAGCACAUGCAAUCUUAAGUUACAAAUUUUAUAUUUUCCUAUAAUUUUUCAUUCUAUGACAGCUUAUAUUGUCUAAAUAAAAAAGAAAGAAACUAAGAGAACCAGUUCGGGUCGUAGAAAUUCAUAAUUUAGAAAUACUAAAUAAAUAAAUAAAGAUACAGGAAGAUUUCUGCGGCGGAAUAUCUACCUGCUUUGGUGGGAGAUACCUUUUUGAAGCCUCUCACUUAUGAUUACUCCACUUUGGCUACAGCUUCCCGUUUCCUUUUUUCCCAUUUCUUUGGCUUUUUGGGUGACUUUUGUCACGUGAAGCAAGAUCAUAAUCGAUGGAUUUAACAAUUAAUAACCUGAUACCGUCUUCCACUUUUAUGGACACACGACCCCAAGUAAACAUUUAAUUUAAUCCAUCUGUCCACGGGUUUCCUCCCGGACCUUUCAUUUCCCUGUACCACGCUCCCGUGUUUCGAGGGGAAGGCGUCAUGGGGAUCUAGACUACCUCCCCUACUCCCGUAAGGGGGUUGUGGACGGGAGAGGCAAUGGGGUCAAAAUCUUUUUCGAGGCCUGAACCCGCCUCUACCCGGACUUUUCCGGUGGUCAGAGCCUUUUAAGGUCCUACUCAAGACCGAAACAUUUAAUUUAAUCCAUUAGUAGUUAAAACACCUCAUGCUAUUUUGUGCACCAUUUCAUUUGCGAAAUGGAUAGUCCGAGAUUGCUUAACUUUUUAAGAUUUUUGCAUAAAUACCAUAUUCUAACAACAAGUAAAAGGAAUCAUCUCAACACACACAUACAUUCCCCACUAUUCCUCCUUUUACAUUUUGUUGUAGCCAAAAUUAUAUUAGAGAUGAGCGAUCACAUUCAAGCUAAGCAAAAAACAUGGUAUGUAGCUCCAUUUCGAAUCUAUGAAACAAAUGGAAUACACCAAGUUUCAUCAUGUUAAGCCUCUCACUUCAAGUCUUUUUUAAGCUUUGGCUUCAAAACAUUUAUGCUUCGAUCUCUUAAUUGGAACCAUGGUAUUAGUACGGUCUUUGUAGACUCAUAAUUAAUCUAUUCAAGAUAGACGUUGCUGCACGAGGAAAUCUUAAAACUUAUUACAAAAGUGCAAUUGAGUCAUAUAUUCAAAAAGUGCCAUCAAGUUCUAAAAGUUAUCAUGUUGAUUCAAUCAAGUCUUUUCUUUGAUUGCAAUUUUUGAAAAUUUUAAAACUCGAUUGUAUUUUCGUAACAAAAAUUUUAAUAUUUGAUUGCACUUUUUAGAUGUUUUAAGACUCGAUUACAUUUUCCUAAUAAGUUUUAGGAUUUGAUUACACUUUUGAAAAUUUUAGGACUCAAUUGCACUUUUGUGAUAAGUUUUGAAACUUGUAUUGUACUUAUCCCUAAAUGUAAGAUGAAAUUUUUCUAAGAAAGAAUUCGAGAUGUUUAGCAUUGAGUAGUAAUUAUUUCUGAUUCAGGCAACUUUAAAUAAGGUCAAGUUGUCUCAAGCGAUAAUAAUAUACUACUAUUAAUUUUUUAUAAAUAUGAUGGAAUUUUUAUACGACUUUAAUUGUCAUUCUACAUACGAUUGAAAACUCAACCUUCAAUCAACAAAAAAUGUUAUGCAAAUAACUCGUUUUCAUGACGAUGGUAGAAUCGUAAUACAUUCUAAUCUAACAGAGGAAAAAGGAAAAACUAUUGCAGAAGGUUAGAUAGAUUCUUGCGAACCCUCAGCAACCUCAGGAACACAUUGAACCUGUCCCCCAAAAACGACAGCACCCGCACCACUCAUUGAAUCAGGGGAAGAGCAAGGCCAGUGACAGCACCCGCACCACUCAUUGAAUCAGGGGCAGAGCAAGGCCAGUGCUCUGCUCUGCACGUCGCCGCCUAACCAAUCGUCUUAACAAUUAAAAAUAAUAAUACGCAUUAUUACAUUCAGAGCGAGAGGGAGGGGAUGUUCCAAAUAUACCCUUUUUUUCAUUAUUACGCUCUGCUCCACACUUGGAAGUUUCAAGGCUUCCUUAUAAAGUCUGCAAAGCAUUGUUUUCUUGAUACAUGUAAACUCUCUAGAUGGAUUGUUGAGAGAAUAGUUUUGUUCUCAUCAAUCUUAUAUUGGAUAGGAGCAAUAAAAUUCAAACGAAGCAGGAACAUGGUGUUUAGCUCCAUUUCAAAUCUGUGGAACCAAUGGAACAUCCGAGGUUUUGUCUUGCUAAGCCUCUCACUUCAGGUCUUUCUUAUUAUAUUUUCACCCAUUAGAAAGAAAACGGAAACGAUCGCAUCACUUUCCUCUUAUGGUUGGCCUAUUUGCUCGCUGACUGGGUAGCUACAUUUGCACUCGGGCUCAUCUCUCACAACCAAGGUAAUUUGUGCACUCAUGCAACUGAAGUAGACAAAGCACUUCAGGCAUUUUGGGCCUCAUUUCUCUUGUUACAUCUUGGCGGUCCGGACACUAUCACUGCCUUUUCUCUAGAGGAUAGUUCACUUUGGCGACGACACCUGCUUAAUCUCAUCUUCCAAAUCAGUGCUGCCAUUUACGUAUUUGGGCAGAUAAUUCCUAGCGACAGGUCGCUGAUGAUCCCAACAAUGCUGGUUUUCCUUGUUGGGGUCAUAAAAAAUGCAGAGAGAAUAGUAGCACUUAAUCUCUCAAGCCUCCCAAGGCUCAAGGAAUGGGUGCUCUCACAGCGCGAGUCCGUUGGGGCUAAUGUUGUUCCCCGGAUAAGGACGCUCCUUUCGACGUAUCAUAAGGAAGAUGAAGCAAUCGAUUAUUCUGAAGAAGAUGAAGCAAAGACUAGUGAGAGCACUGUGGUGGAGCUAGCGUACUACUUCUUUCAAAUCUUUAAGAUUUUCCUCGAAGAUCUCAUGUUCACAUUUGAAGAACACAAUAUGAGCCUAGAAUAUUUCCGCCACAUUUCUGCAAUGGAGGCGUUGAGGCCGAUGUCACUUGAACUUCAGUUCAUUUACGAAGUGCUUUACACAAAAACGUUAGCAAUACGUUUUAAGUUGAGCUACUUUUUCCACUUCGUAAGGGUGUUGUGGUGGCUUUCGUCCUCUUCAAUCGCUUGAAGAAUUACUUAUAUCCUUCUUUUUGGAGGGAUUGUUCUCGAUGUGAUAGCUCUAUUCAUGCUCAUUUUCUCAGAUUGGACCCUUGUCGAAAAUAUGCAGAACAACUCCAAAUCAUCUAGAUUAUAUUCGCUUAUGUACAAAUUGGCAUAUGACAAGUAUAAGCUGAGGGAGCCCCGAUACGUCACAUGUGAAGUAGAGCCUAAUGCUAAUGUUACUUACGAGGCCUUACAUACACCAUUAAUAUUUCGAAGGUGGUCAGAAUCCAUCUCAACUUGUAACCUCUUAUCCAUGAGCUUGAAGGAGAGUCCGAGAAGCUUGGGCAGCAUUGCUUCUUCUAAUCUGUUUGAUUUUCCAUUCCAUAUGGCUGAGAAAAUCUUCUCUUAUUUCCAUCAAGCCGGUGAGACAAUCACCAGACGUUGUGGACUGAGGACCACCAAAGGGAAAAAAUUAAUGAUUACAAAGACAAAGUACGUAUCCAAGAAUCCUUUUCUUAAAAAGCUGUGGCUUUUUAUCUUUGAGGAGGUGAGACGUAAAUCCAGUCCUAAACAUGAUGCGCAAAAGGUAUCUGAGACCAGAGGUCGUUAGUAUCUCGAGAGUUUAUCGGAUGGAAACAAAUCUGUCAAUCUUCUAAAGGAUUUCAUUGUGGGUACUUACAAUGACAAUAUUAUAAUAUGGCAUAUUGCUACUGAAAUCUGGUACAACAAAGAGAAAUCUAUGGAAAAAAAAGAUGAAAGGGAAUUAGCAAGAUCCUCUCUGACUAUAUGCUGUAUCUGUUAAUCAAUCUAAUGUUAUGUCCGUUGUGGUAGGCAUUGCCCAAAUCAUAGUAGGGGAGACGUUGGGGGAGUCACUAGAAUUACUCCACAUGAAUGAUAAGACCCGGGAUGUGGAUAAGCAAUUGUUUGAGAAAUCUGAAGAAUCAUUGAAAGAUGUAUACCAUUCGAAAUCCAUGCUCAGUCAGGGGACCGAUUUAGCUAAAAAGAUGAAAGAGCUCGGGGAAAUGAAGUUGAAGGUGAUGAGCGGAGUAUGGGUUGAGAUGCUGUUAUAUGCAGCGGUUCAUAUUAAGGGAGAAGUACAUGUGCAGGUGCUUAACAAAGGUGGAGAGCUUCUUGCUUUCAUUUGGCUGUUGAUGGCUCAUUCCGGUCGUGUCUACGAUCCUCAUUUGGGCAACUUUUAUGCCCGCUCUGAUUAGAGUGAGUGAUAGAUUCGCGUCAACUAUCUUAUUUACCAUCCUCAUGGCUUUCCUACUGGUGUUCGUACAAAUAGAAUUUAAUAGUCUGUGUAUCUUCGUGACUAAUGCCAAGAAUUGAUGGAUUUUCAUUAGAGGGCUGUGCAGCACUGUCCAGACCGUGGACAGCGAGCGUUCAGUCUUGUUUGGUUCAUUAGACGAGCACCGGGCCAACCCUCAGGGGUUCCCGUGGCGAUGUGGUUUUUGAAUAAUACUAAGCCAAUUUCAAGUCCUAAUGACACACGACACGCCUGCUACCAGACUUCAUGCAUGCUUAAUAGGGGACGUUUGGUGGGCCUUUGUUUGGGUAUUGCAUCUUUGAGGUGUCUCGGGUU